rnacentral:lncRNA from 1 species
UAUUAGUCUAGGAGUCCUUAUUAGUCUAUGUUUACUUUCCUUGCACCUCAAGUCUUGUGUAAUAUAUAUAUGCCCCUUGGGCCUUCAAUAAACAUAAGUUGCUUUCCUAACAACUUAGUUACGGUGAUUACUUCAGGAUUUUGAUGUUUCUGUCACUACACCUACUCUGCUCUUAUCUGAUAGUACUCUGCUCUUAUUUGACAGUACAGGUGCUAUUAGCAUUGCGCGCGAUCCUGUGAAGCAUGAGCUCACCAAGCAUAUUGGUGUUGAUGCUUUCUAUGUGUGCGCUGGUGUGCAGGAUCAGAUUAUUGCUCUUCAGUAUGUGCCUUCCGAAUUACAGUUGACAGAUUUUCUGACGAAGGCCCAGACUAGAGCACAGCAUGGCUUCUAUCUCUCCAAACUCAGUGUUGUUAAUCCGCCAUGAGKUUUGGAGGGGGGGGGGGGGGGUUAGAAUACUAUAUACUAUAUAUGUAGCCAUAUAACCUUUCGUAUUUACCCUAUUAUAUAAAGGGUUUUCUGCAUAUUACACACCUGUACAUGUAUAUAUACUGGCCUAUGGCCUCCUGGAAAUACAAGUUGCAUAUUUCCUAACAAAGACCAACUACUGCAUUAUAACACAUUGAUAAUGAAAAUCAUAAUACCUUGGCAUGUCCCAAAUGCUUCAGAGAUUCCUCUUGGGACAUUGAGUUCAUGAAUAACUGAAUACAACAAAGGCCAGAAGCCACAUGAUCACCUUUUAGAACCUGAUACACCAUGUUUCAAUGUAAAUAUUAAUUAGCGCGAAAGCAGUGGACUUCAAAGGAAGUGACACAAAGGAAAAUUUGAUGAUAGUACCAGAAAAUUGUAAAGAUAAUUAUAGUGCCGAUGCAUUUCACAGUAGUUACAAAUGCGGGUGAGAACAGUGUUCAUGUACUGAAUCACAGUUGUGUCAUGAUACGUCGGGGAUUGAGUUAUUGCCAAUAUUGUAUCCUCCAAUACAGACAUAGCACCAUAUCCAAGACAUAGAUCACACAGGUCAUCAAUUGUCCCAUAAUCAGUUGUUAAAGGAUCAUUCCGAGGAACUNNNNNNNNNNNNNNNNNNNNNNNNNNNNNNNNNNNNNNNNNNNNNNNNNNNNNNNNNNNNNNNNNNNNNNNNNNNNNNNNNNNNNNNNNNNNNNNNNNNNUGACUUCCCAAUUAAAAUAGGACUGCACCAGGGUCAGCUUUGAGCCCUUAUCUUUUUCCCUUGGUGAUGGAUGAGGUCACAAGGGAUAUAUAAGGAGUUAUUCCAUGGUGUAUGCUCUUUGCGGAUGAUGUGGUGCUAGUCGAUGAUAGUCGAACGGGGUCAAUAGGAAGUUAGAGCUAUGGAAUCAAACCUUGGAAUUGAAAGGUUUUAGACUUAGUAGAACUAAAACCGAGUACAUGAGGUGCAGUUUCAGUACUACUAGGCACGAGGAGGAGGAGGUUAGCCUUGAUGGGCAAGUGGUGCCUCAGAAGGACACUUUUUGAUAUUUGGGGUCAAUGCUGUCGAGGGAUGGGGUUAUCGAUGAAGAUGUGAACCAUCGAAUCAAAGCCGAAUGGAUGAAGUGGCGUCAAGCUUCUGGCAUUAUCUAUGACAAGAGAGUGACACAAAAGCUAAAAGGCAAGUUCUAUAGGACGGGUGCUUCGACCCGCAAUGUUGUAUGGCGUUGAAUGUUGGCCGACUAAAAGACGACAUGUUCAACAAUUAGGUGUGGUGGAGAUGCGCAUGUUGAGAUGGAUGUGUGGCCAUACAAGGAAGGACCGAGUCCGGAAUGAUGAUAUACAGAGAUAGAGUUGGGGUAGCACCGAUUGAAGAGAAACUUGUCCAACAUCAUCUGAGAUGAUUUGGGCAUAUUCAACGCAGGCCUCCAAAAGCGCCAACGCAUAGCGGAUGGCUAAAGUGUGUUGAUAAUGUCAAGAGAGGUCGGGAUAGACCAAACUUGCGGAAAGAGAGAUCUGAAGGACUCGAGAGAGAUCUGAAGGACUAGAGUAUCACUAGAGAACUAGACAUGGAAAGGGGUGCGUGGAAGCUUGCGAUCCAUAUGCCAGAACCAUGAGUUGGUGAGUUUCACCUCUAGCCUACCCCAACUUGUUUGGGACUAAAGGCUUUGUUGUAUUGUGGUCUGAUGCAUAGAAUUUCAGGUUGGGCCCGAAAUCAUCAAGAAUGGAGCCCAUGCAGGAAGACUGCAUGUACGUAUAGUAAGAUAGAAAAGGUUUUACAAAGCCAAUGAAAAAUGGUCCAUAACGCGUGACUGAAUAAACAUGAAAAUUCAAAGAUCUAAAGGUGAUUCAACGCAAUGACUACUGCCAUGUAAAGGCCUGCAGCUCCUUCGCUCCAAUCACACUCCACAUUAUGAAUGUUGCCUUGCACUGAUCGGUGAUGGUUUCUAUGCUGCAUUAAUGUUGUUGAAGAAAUUUUCGCAUUGAACAGCGCUGACCAUUGCCAAGCUAGACUAACAUGGGUUGCAAAUAUUUCACCACAUAAGAGCAUCUCUAACCAAUCCCCUAUAAUCGAUUAGAGGAGGAUAAAUUCUGUUUUCCUCCUCUAAUCGACACCUAACCAAUCCCUUAGGCCUCGUUUGGUUAAGGGGGAUUGGGGAGGUUUUGUGAGGAAAAUCCCCGGGGGGCCCAGAAACCCCACAGAUCCUCGGGCGUCCAUUUGGUAGGAGGGAUUUGCUUAGUCCAAUCCCCUCCGUUCCCCUUCAAUCCCUUCCUAUCCAUGUGUUUUAAAAUCCUCCUCGGGGGACUAGUUGAAGCAAAACCCCGGAGAUUUGAGAGGAUUGGGUGGAACAAAGGGAUUCCCCCUGAAAUCCCUCCCUCUCAAAACCUCUCCAAUCCCCCUUAACCAAACGAGGCCUUAUAACAUUUAGAGGAGGAUAGUUUAUCCUCCACGGCCUCGCCGAGGAGGAAAAAUACUUGUCUGCCAACCCGUGGAGUAAAAAUACUCAUCUGACGCUUCCCUCCUUACCUCCGACGACACCCCACAGCCCCGUCGACCUUCCGCCACCAAAUUCUAGCGAGAUUCCGGCAAUCUUUCUUUCUUAAAUUUUUUGUCAUUUCCAUCGCCUUCGGCCACGGAGACGCUCCUCCUCAUCGUCCCUAGCCCGGCGGCGCUCCUCCCAUAGUCAGAGCCGCCGAAGCCACGGUGGAGGAGGUUAUGCACGAUCUUGUACCUGGCCUUGGCGGCGGUAUCCACAGCCACUUGUUGGACACGCCGGAGCUGUCUUUGACGGCGGCCGCUACGAUGGGUUCAUGGUCCAACCACUAGAGGAAGCACGCUAUGAGGAUGGAGCGGAUGGCACCUCCGGGUACCUCAGGUUGCAGCUCCCAUCACUCAGGCGGCUCGGCAUCGACCCGGGAAGCACGAGCAGCACGCGCGGCAGUGAGCAACAACAUGAUGAGGCGGGCGAUAUGUGUGAUGUGUUCGGCAGCGGACGAGGACUCGUGACUCCGGCGUGGUCAACAUCGUCGUCACUCGUCGCGAAGCGCAUAACAAUUGUUUGACGAAAUGUAUGAGCCAAAUGUAAGUUUUAAUCUAGGUUUAGGGGAGCGAUUAGAAAUGACACUUUUUUUAGAGGAGCAAAUGUACUCCUCUAAAGAAUACUCGGCCAUUUACUCCUCUAAGUUAUAGGGGGUCGGUCAGAGAUGCUCUAAGCUCGUAGACGAAACCCCACGGAUACCUACAAGUGAUAACUAAUAUUUAUUUAUUAUUUGUUCAGCCAUGAGGUUCCCACGUUCACAGCGGCCAAAGAUAUAUCAACAUACUAGACGCCAUGGGAACUUAUUCAUCCACUUAGCCAUGGACCAUCAUAACAGCUCCGAUUUGCUUGCCAUAGAACAUUGCCUGCCGUGUAGGUUGUAUUACUGCACCAUCAUAAAGAUUACCAAGUAGGAUACUUCCAUGCGUUAUGCCAGUGACAUGUGACCCUGGCCCUCAUGUCAUUCUCGUGUUGGAUGGAUUUCAACUUCCUUGCAAUGGAAACAGGCUAAUUUUGUCAUUUAGAAAAUACUCCCUCCGUCCCAAAAUAAGUGUCUCAAUUUUGUACUAGCUCUAGUACAAAUUUGUACUAAGCUUGAGACAGUUAUUUNNNNNNNNNNNNNNNNNNNNNNNNNNNNNNNNNNNNNNNNNNNNNNNNNNNNNNNNNNNNNNNNNNNNNNNNNNNNNNNNNNNNNNNNNNNNNNNNNNNNCGUAGUUAGUAGCUAGAUGGCUUCUUCUCUCUCUUGGAUCUUCAAUACAAAGUUCUCCAUGAUCUUCAUGGAGAUCUAUCCGAUGUAAUCUUCUUUGGCGGUGUGUUUGUCGAGAUCCGAUGAAUUGUGGAUUUGUGAUCAGAUUAUCUAUGAUAUAUAUUUGAGUCUUUGCUGAUUUCUUAUAUGCAUGAUUUGAUAUCCUUGUAAGUCUCUCCGAGUCUUGGGUUUUGUUUGGCCAACUAGAUCUAUGAUUCUUGCAAUGGGAGAAGUGCUUGGUUUUGGGUUCUGCCAUGUGGUGACCUUUCCCAGUGACAGUACGGGCAGCAAGGCACACAUCAAGUAGUUGCCAUCAAUGGUAAAAAGAUGGGGUUUUUAUCAUUGGUUUGAGAUUAUCCCUCUACAUCAUGUCAUCUUGCUUAAGGCGUUACUCUGUUCUUAUGGACUUAAUACACUAGAUGCAUGCUGGAUAGCAGUCGACGUGUGGAGUAAUAGUAGUAGAUGCAGAAAGUAUCGGUCUACUUGUUUUGGACGUGAUGCCUAUAGAAAUAAUCAUUGCAUAGAUAUCGUCACGACUUUGCGCGGUUCUAUCAGUUGCUCGACAGUAAUUUGUUCACCCACCGUCUACUUGCUUUCAUGAGAGAAGCCACUAGUAAACACUACGGCCCUCGGGUCUAUUCACAUCCAUCAUUUACAUCUCCGCUUUUACUUUGCUUUGUUACUUUGUUGCUUUCAGUUCUCACUUGGCAAACAAUCUAUAAGGGAUUGACAACCCCUUCAUAGCGUUGGGAGCAAGUUUUUGUGUUUGUGCAGGAUCUUGAGAUACUCCUCCACUGGAUUGAUACCUUGGUUCUCAAACUGAGGGAAAUACUUACCACCGCUACGCUACAUCACCCUUUCCGCUUCUAGGGAACACCAAUGCAAGGCUCCAAGGCCACGGGGGAAAUCCUUUGCACACUUGCCUAGGAAGUCCCUUAAGGAGUAGCCGUAGCAGAAAGAUCAAGCCAAGUAUUCUCCCGUCGACAUGCCUAUUUCUGGCACCGUUGGAAGGUCUUUUGUUGCAGUAGCAGAAGCAUUUCUGGCGCCGUUGCCGGGGAGGAGAAAUCAAGAUCUAUCCAAGUAGGUCUCACAAACUCUUCUCUUGCAUUUACUUUUGUUGCCAGUUGCCUCUCGUUUUCCUCUCCCCCACUUCACAUUUGCCGUUUUCAUUUGCCUUUCUCCUUCGCCGUUUUGUUUUGCCUUUGCCGUUUCCUUUGCCGGUUCUCUUGCUUGCUUCUGUGCUUGUUUGUUUGUUGNNNNNNNNNNNNNNNNNNNNNNNNNNNNNNNNNNNNNNNNNNNNNNNNNNNNNNNNNNNNNNNNNNNNNNNNNNNNNNNNNNNNNNNNNNNNNNNNNNNNCGGGUGCGGGUUCGGUAGGAAUCACGAGGUGGCGAUGAGCAUGGUGGCGCGGGCGGAAACUGGAGCGCGGUGCGGGCGAGCGGAGAGUUCUGUUUGGAGAAGGGUUUGCUGAUGUCUCGCGGUUUGGGGAGGACGGAGGAAGGAGAAGACGAACAAACAACGUAGGGGGAAAUAAGGCUGGAUUAUUCACUCAUGCCCCGUUCGGACUAGACGCCGGAUGAACGGAUGGACGCGAGUGGAACUGAUAUCUUUCUCAGACAUACGCUCCGACCCACCAUUUCCCUUCGCCAUCCGUCCGUAACAGGGACCGAUCCGUGAACAGAGAUACGAAUGCGGCCAUCCAAACAUCUCUACUGUUAAACAUGGAUUCUCCGGUCGUGAUGGUAGAAUUUUUUUUUUUGGUCAUACCUUUCAUCUUUGUUCGGGUUUUUUAUCCCUCCUUCCAUCAUAAUACAUUCAGUAAUGUAUUUAUGUGAAAGAAUCAAUUAAAUUUUAAUAAAAUCUUCAAAGAUCAAAUAUGAAUUAAUCAACCUUGUCAUAAGUGGUUCAUUCCUAAUUGCUCUUAAUGUUUUCAUACAUCAGCAAAUUACAUUAAUUGCUAAUAAACCUUUAAAGAUCAAAUUUAAAUUAAUUAACCUUAUCAUGGGUGGCUCAAUCGUAUUUAUUAAUAUUUUCAUACAUCAUCAAAUUACAUUAAUUUUAAAUAAAUCUUUUAAAAACAAAACUGAGUUAAUUAGCCUUACCAUAAGUGGCUAAAUCACAUUUACUAAUAUUUCCAUACAUCAUCAAAUUAUAUUAAUUUUUAAUAAAUUUUUAAAGAUCAAAACUGAAUUAAUUAAUCUUAUCAUAAAUGGCUCAAUCACAUUUAUUAAUAUUUUCAUACAUCAUCAAAUUACAUUAAUCUUUACUCCUAAAAGAGGAGUGCAUAUGUCCACGGACGGACCCGGGAAAAAAACUGACCGAGGGCACCGAGCUAUAAAAAACUCUCAAACAUGUUUACACAUAGGCUUAUAAAUACUUCAAUCUCUACUCCUAAUGAAGCAGUUGGUAGCUGAUGGGGAUAUAUACCUAGGGUAGGGUCAUGGACGUGACAUGAAUGUCCUACCCAAGGGUACCUCAUUAUUAGGUCAAGGGGUCCACAGAAGAUUCAGACUCAAUGGACAUGGCACCUAAAAAGUGCUCGGUACACAAACACUCGGGCUACAUUCCCAUCCACUCGACAACAUGUAUCCACUCGGAAUGAUUCCAGUCGACAUUGAAGACCAGAAGUCACCUACGAAGGCCAACGGACAUACGUACAGCCAAUGGUCUUUAGUAGCAUUUAUUACUUGCAUAUGUUAUCAGUAACGUAUAUCUUUAACUCAUAUUGAUCGAGCUCUUAGAUGUUCAGGCCUUGUUGAGGUGUAGCACACUCUAUAUAAGUCAUCCCUCCCCUCUGGCAGAACGGUUCGCACCCCUGUAUUACAAAUCCACACUGCAAGAGCUCCCGAGCACUGAGACGUAGGGUUGUUACUUCCAAGAGAGGAGCCUGAACUCAUACAUCCUCUGUACAAGCUUGCCGUAGCUAGGACUCUGCCCUCUCCAUUCGUACCUUACACCUUUACUGUCACGUUCAUUCCCACGAUAGUUGGCGCCCACCAUGGGGCAGGCGUCUAAGCGACUUUCAGCAAGUUUGCAUUUUUUCACUCUUCGUCAUGUCUUCCGGCGGCGAUUCGUUCAUGGGUGGUGAGAUCCGUUUCGGCGCCCUCAUCUUCGUCGCCGACGACUCGGCAUGGCUUCAAGAAGCGCCACUCGACAUCGAGGCGCUCCCGAUCCGUGGAGCAACGCACUUCCGUGCAAGCUCCUUCGACGUACUUCUUCGGCAAUCGUUGACUCCGGUCGCUCACGACUUUAGCGAUGGGUGAAGCACGCAGUGGCUCGCCAGGCGUCAUCUCCGUCGACUCCUCAGGUCGCAGCCAUCGAGCCUGUUAUGCCUCUUCGGGAACCGAUCCACUCGGCGUCAGAUCAGUCUGACGUUCCUUCCGAGUGCGAGAGCUGCAACCCAGCAGCGCAGGUCUUCAUGGUGGGCUCCGCGGAGAGCCCACCCGGGUUUGGUCACGGCGUGCAUGAGGCCGGCGAACUGUCAUCUGGACGCGGUCGUCGUCGUCCUCCAACUUCCAGUCAGCGACAGCUCUUCUCAGGCGGUCAUCAAGACAAUACUAAGGUAUAUCGUACUCCAGUACUUAAUGUCACAGCAGCAGAUUCGCGCUUUACAUCAAGCAGCACAACGGCAAAACUCAGUUGUAUCGCAGUCGCUCAAUAGAUUACACAGUAAUUCGCCAAGAGCAGAUACAGUCCAUUCAGUUUAUAGUCCAGGUUCACCCCAGCGUCGCAGAGACGGGGCCCACUGAGAGUAUCAGCACCGAGGCCAGGGUCAGAACCAGUUUCCCCCUCGUUAUCACUGUGAUGACCACUGUCGAGUGCAUUCUCCUCCAUGAAGCGGCUCGUAUGUGUCCCGACACUACGAUGACCGACGCUCGUUCGGUGACGAGCGGAAUCCUGAAUUUGAUGCGAGAGAUGUACUUGCACAGAGAAGGAUCGACAUAUGCACAGCCUACAGAGAUGGUCUCUAUAGAGAUCACACGAGUGGAAGUGGUACCGCAGUUUCCGGUCCCGAGUGUUUCAGCAGGGCAAUCCGCUCUGCCGAUAUUCCCCUCAACUUCAGGUUGGCGGCUAGAGUCAGCAAGUUCACAGGAGAGUCCAAGCCCGAAACGUGGCUGGAUGAUUAUCGAGUUGCAGUACAGAUUGGCGGCGACAACGACAACGUUGCGAUGAAGCACUUGCCCCUGAUGCUGGAUAGUUCGGCCCGUGAAUGGCUCAAUCAGCUGGCACCUUCAAGCAUAUAUUGUUGGGCAGAUCUGGCCCGAGUGUUCAUCAAGACCUUCGAGGGCACUUGCAAGCGCCCUGCCGACCUUUAUGAGUUACAACAUUGUGUACAGAAGUUGAGUGAGUCCUUGUGUGAUUAUAUCUGUUGGAAAUAUGCCCUAGAGGCAAUAAUAAAGCAGUUAUUAUUAUGUUUCCUUGUUCAUGAUAAUUGUCUAUUGUUCAUGCUAUAAUUGUAUUAACCGAAAACAGUAAUACAUGUGUGAAUAUAUAGAUCACAAUAUGUCCCUAGUAAGCCUCUAGUUGGCUAGCUCGUUGAUCAACAGAUGAUCAUGGUUUCCUGAUCAUGGACAUUGGAUGUCGUUGAUAACGGGAUCACACCAUUAGGAGAAUGAUGUGAUGGACAAGACCCAAUCCUAAGCAUAGCACUAGAUCGUGUUGUUUGUCUGCUAAAGCUUUUCUAAUGUCAAGUAUCAUUUACUUGGACCGUGAGAUUGUGCAACUCCCGGAUACCGUAGAAGUGCUUUGGGUGUAUCAAACGUCACAACGUAACUGGGUGACUAUAAAGAUGCAUUACGGGUAUCUCCAAAAGUGUCUAUUGAGUUGGUACGAAUCGAGACCGGGAUUUGUCACUCCGAGUGACGGAGAGGUAUCUCUGGGCCCACUCGGUAGAACAUCAUCAUAAUGAGCUCAAUGUGAAUAAGGAGUUAGUCACGGGAUGAUGUGAUACGGAACGAGUAAAGAGACUUGCAGGUAACGAGAUUGAACAAGGUAUAGGGAUACCGACGAUCGAAUCUCGGGCAAGUAACAUAUUGAUAGACAAAGGGAAUUGCAUACGGGAUUGAUUGAAUCCUUAACAUCCUCGUUCAUCCGAUGAUAUCAUCGUGGAACAUAUGGGAACCAACAUGGAUAUCCAGACCCCGUUGUUGGUUAUUGGCCGGAGAGAUGUCUCAGUCAUGUCUGCAUGUCUCCCGAACCCGUAGGGUCUGCACACUUAAGGUUCGAUGACGCCACGGUUAUAGGGAAAUAGUGUAUGUGGUUACCGAAGGUUGUUCGGAGUCCCGGAUGAGAUCCCAGACGUCACGAGGAGCUCCGAAAUGGUCCGUAGGUAAAGAUUUAUAUAUAGGAAGUGAGAUUAUGGACACCAGAAAUGUUUCGGGCGUCACCGAUAACGUAUCGGGACCACCAGAAGGGUUCCGAGGGUCCACCGGGAGGGGCCACCAGCCCCAAAGGCUAGCAUGGGCCAAAAGGUGGACGGGAACCAGCCGAGAGUGGGCUGGUGAGCCUCCCACCUAGGCCCAAGGCGCAAGGAGAGGUGGAGGGGGGCAACCCUAGCGCAGGAGGGGGCCCAGGCCCACCUGGCGCGCCACCCCUCCUCUCCCUGCCUUGGCCGCCACCUCCUAGCGCCAGAUGGGGCUGCCGCCACCCUACGGGUGGGAACCCCAGAGGUGGCGCACCCUCCUCCCUCUCCUCCUAUAAAUACCCGGGGUAUUGGGGCUGAUUUGAGACACGAACUCUCUCUCUCUCGGCGCAGCCCUACCUCUCUCCUUCCUCGUCCUCUGCGGUGCUUGGCGAAGCCGUGUCGGAGUUCCACGUAGCUCCACCGCCGCCACGCCGUUGUGCUACCGGAGCUCUCUCCCUCAACCUCUCCUUCCUCCUUGCUGGUUCAAGGUGUUGGAGACGUCAUCGGGCUACACGUAUGUUGAACGCGGAGGUGUCGUGGUUCGGCACAUAGAUCGGAGUCCACUGCGAUCUGAAUCGCUACGAGUACGACUACAUCAACCGCGUUCAUAGUAACGCUUCCGCUUAGAGAUCUUCCAAGCUAUGAAGAUGCUCUUCCCCUUGCUUGUUGCUGGUCUCUCCAUAGAUAGAUCUGAAAGGACAUGGAUGUCGCCUAGAGGGGGGGUGAACAGGCGCUUUAAAAUAAUUACAAUUUAGGCUUGAACAAAUGCGGAAUAAAAGUAACGUUUAAUUUGUCAAGCACAAAAACUAAAACAACUAGGCUCAACUAUGUGCACCAACAACUUAUGCUAAGCAAGAUAAACAACUAAGUGAUAGCAAGAUAUAUGACAAGAAACAAUAUGGCUAUCACAAAGUGAAGUGCAUAAGUAAAGGGUUCGGGUAAGAGAUAACCGAGGCACGCAGAGACGAUGAUGUAUCCCGAAGUUCACACCCUUGCGGAUGCUAAUCUCCAUUGGAGCGGUGUGGAGGCACAAUGCUUCCCAAGAUGCCACUAAGGCCACCGUAAUCUCCUCACGUCCUCGCACAAUGCAAGGUGUCGUGAUUCCACUAAGGGACCCUUGAGGGCGGUCACCGAACCYGUACAAACAAGGUUGGGGCAAUCUCCACAACUUAAUUGGAGGCUCCYRACAACACCACGAAUUUUCACCACAAUGGCAUAUGGAUUCGAGGUGACCACAAAUUCUUGGGGCAAUCUCCACAACUUAAUUGGAGACCCCGACGCUUGCCCGGAGCUUUACACCACAAUGAUUGAGCUCCGAGGCACCACCAAGCUUCUAGGGGUACCAAGUACCCAAGGGUAAUAAGAUUCUCAACUUCUCACUUCCACGUAUCACCGUGGAGAACUCAAACCGAUGCACAAAAUGCAAUGGCAAGGGCACACAGAGUGCCCAAGUCCUUCUCUCCCAAAUCCCACCAAAGCAAGUAAUGCUAGGGAGGAAAAUGAGAGGAAGAACGAAUAACUCCAAGAUCUAGACCCAAGGGGUUCCCCUCACUUAGAGGAGAAAGUGAUUGGUGGAAAUGUGGAUCUAAAUCUUCUCUCUCUUUUCCCUCAAGAACUAGCGAGAAUCAUUGGAGGGAUUGAGAGUUAGCAAGCUUGAAGAAGGUCAACAAUGGGGGGAAGAACACGAGCUAAAGAGAUAAGGUUCAAUGGGGAAGAAGACCCCCUUUUAUAGGUGGGAAAGAACGAACUGUCAUGCUUCACAACCCGCACAGAGCGGUACUACCGCUCAUGGGAGCGGUACUACCGCUCGGUAGGUUCACCAGCCAUGCUGAGGCAAAAAGGAUGCGCAAAUAAAGUCCGACUGAGCGGUACUACCGCUCGUGGUAGCGGUACCACCGCUCGUAGGUUCACCAGCCACGCCGAGGCAAAAAGGAUGUGCAAAUAAAGUCCGACGGAGUGGUACUACCGCUCGUGGGAGCGGUACUACCGCUCGGCACAAGCGGUACUACUGCUCGCCACAGAAACUGCCUUAACUUUCGCAUACACACUCCGAAUUCAACGAAACCAUAUUUGUUGGAAAGCUAACGACAUGGCUAACACAAUAUUGAUAGAAAUAUCAAUAAGAAGCAAGUGAGAAAAGGCAUAGAAAAUGGUGAGAACCCUUCCUCGAAUAAGACCGAUAAAAACUCCCAACGUCGAAAACAUCAUAGAAGAUGCAUAUGGACUCUGUUUUCGAUGAACUCGAGUUUGUCAUGAAGAUGACCAUAAGAUCUAAAACUCACAAAGAGAAACACCAAACAAGAACCAGGAAGUAUGAUGCAAGGAUGCAAGCGAUUUGAGCUCUCAGCAAACGAUAGGAUCAAGCUACUCACUUGACGAGGCCCCCCUUGACAGUACGACAAUCUAUCCUAGAACAGAAAACCUAUCAAGGGCAAACCUAUACCUUGCACCUCGUCCUCUUGAGCUAGAUGACGACAAUCUUGGCUUCCUCAAGAUGGACCAUCUUUCUUGAUUGCGUUGGCUUGAUCAAGACUAGUUGAUUGCUCCCGCAUACACACUUUGGGUUAGCCGCUCUUCAGCAUAUCUUCACAAGUCCAUUGCCACCACAAUGGACGACAAGCUUCAAGCAUGAUAUCUUCAUGAUGAUCCACUUGAACUUGCAUACCGCAAUCUUGAUGACGAUCACCACUUGACUUCAUCCUCCAUGGGUUGAAUGAGAUCUUACUCUUGACGCAAGCCCAUGGAAAUACACCUAACCCCACAUAAAACUCUCGCGAAGGCCAUGGGUUAGUACACAAACACGUAAUGGACAAUGCUUACCAUACCAUGGGAUCACCUGAUCCCUCUCGGUACAUCUUGUACGCUUUGUGUGUUGAUCAUCUUGAUUUACUCUUUGUUUGACGAUCUUGAUCAACCUUGUGUCUUUAUGGCCAUUCUUUGGAUAAUACCUUGAAUACCACCUUGGUCAUCAUAUAAACUCCUUGAACCGAAAAGAUGGACUUCUAGAAGUGCCUAUGGACAAAUUCUAUAAAUAUAACUUAAGGCAACCAUUAGUCCAUAGGAAUUGUCAUCAAUUACCAAACCACAUAUGGAGAGAUAUGCUCUAACAAGAUCGUUGCAUGGCGUAGGAAAAUUUUGAAUUUACUACGUUCUCCAACAGUGACAUCCGAGCCAAGGUUUUCUAUGAGUAGAUUCUAUGCACGAGUAGAACACAAAAGUUGUGGGCGCUGAUUUUGUCAAUUGCUUGCCGUUACUAGUCUUAUCUUUUUCCGGCGGUAUUGUGGGAUGAAGCGUCCCGGACCGACUUUACACGUACGCUUACAUGAGACUGGUUCCACCGCCUGAUAUGCACACAAUGCAUAAGGUGGCUAGCGGGUGUCUAUCUCUCCAACUCUAGUCGGAUUGGAUUCGAUGAAAAGGGUCCGUAUGAAGGUUAAAUAGCUUUGGCAUAUCAAUGUUAUGGCUGUCACGUAGGUAAGAAGGCGUUCUUGCUAGAAACCCAAAUCAGCCACGUAAAACUUGCAACAACAAUUAGAGGACGUCUAACUUAUUUUUGCAGGGUUUGCUAUGUGAUGUGACAUGACCAAAGGAUGUGAUGUUACAUGUGUGAUGUAUGAGAUUGAUCAUGUUCUUGGAAUAGGAUUCACGACUUGCAUGUCGAUGAGUAUGAAAACCGGCAGGAGCCAUAUGAGUUGUCUUCAUUUAUUCUAUGAGAUGCAACGCCAUAUGUUUAUUACUUUUCUUUAUUGGUAACGGUUAGCUAUAGUAAUAGAAGUNAUAGUUGGCAUGACAACUUCACGGAUACACAAUGAUGGAGAUCAUGAUUAUGGAGAUCAUGGUGUCACGCCGGUGACGAUGAUGAUCAUGCGAUGCCCCGAAGAUGGAGAUCAAAGGAGCAAAGAUGAUAAUGGUCAUAUCAUGUCACUAUAUGAUUGCAUGUGAUGUUUAUCAUGUUUUUYYAUCUUAUUGCUUAGAACGAUAGUAGCUUAAUAAGAUGAUCCCUCAUAAAAUUUCUAGAAAGGUAUUUCCCUAAGUGUGCAACGUUGCGAAGGAUCGUUGUCUCGAAGCACCACGUGAUGAUCGGGUGUGAUAGAUUCUAACGUUCGCAUACAACGGGUGUAAGCCAGUUUACACACGCAAAAUACUUAGGUUGACUCGACGAGCCUAGCAUAUACAGACAUGGCCUCAAAUACGGGAGACAGAAAGGUCGAACAUGAGUCGUAUGGUUGAUACGAUCAGCAUGGAGAUUGUCGUGGUUUUGUCACGGCAGAUGUCCUCGUGAAAGGACUUAGUGUUGGAGCCAUCGCACCUUGGUGGCGACUCAAAGGGGUUGAACGGGAACGAGACAGAGAUUUACCCAGGUUCGGCCCCUCGUGAGGAGGUAAAAGCCUACGUCCUGCUUUGUGUUGUAUUGAUGGAGUUUCGAUUACAAGGAAGGCGUAACUCGCCUGACCUAGCACUCGAUGAUUUCUAACCUACACUCUUCCUCCCUGGGACUCGCCUUUAUAUACAGGUCGAGUCCUUAGGGUUUACAAGGGUCCUUUCCUUUACACAAAUCGUGAGUCUUGCAAUCUCUAAGUCACCCCCUUUCCAAGGCUUGGAGACCUUCUCUAUUAUGGACUCCUUCCGAAGGUUUAGAACCGCCAUAUGACUUCCGGCCUUACCAGGACAAGGCCCAAACCACAUUGAGAUGAAUCGCCAGCUUCGGUGACCCGGUCCAACUAGGGCGGGUUAUCCAACAGAUAAUAUCCCCAACAUUAGGCCCUAGAUUGACUUGAAUUCUUUUCAUGCCAACAUCCUUACUCAAUUAGGGGCGAUUCAUCUUCACUCCUCUUAUGCGCCAUGUACUUAAACCGCCAUCUGCUGCGGAAAAACUCAAGUCGCCCAACCGCUUCUUGUUAGCGCCUCCUUAUCCCUUGAAUCUCGGAAGGGAUGAUGACGUAAUCCCCAACGGAUCCUUCGACAUCGUUAUCCCAAAAUUUUUGGGGCGCCAUCAUGGCGAAUCUUUAUCUUUUGGCAGUUCCCGCUCGUGGCGCCUCGAUCCUGGCGCCCGACCUGAUAAAUAGGCGGGAGGAAGGGACUGGGCGCAUUUCACCUACCCGUCUUGUCGCCCUUCUCUUCCUCACCGUCGCAGCAAAAAUCUUAUCGCCACCCGAGAGCUCCGCCGUCACCCGAAGACCUCGUUUUUUUCGCAGCAAAAAUCUUAUCCAGACAUUUUUCGCAGUCAUUUCUAUUUGUCCGGUAGAUCCAUAAUCUAUCGCUUGUCGAGUGAAAUCUGUUUAUAAUCUUAUACUUCACCAUCUUGACAAGUACUACUGAUGCUCUGAAACACCUCUCCUUUAAGUAGUAGGAGUUUCAUAAGUCGCCUUUGGCAGCCUGACCCGGACCUUCGUCGGCGGGUCAAAAACCUCCCUCAGCCAUCAGACAAAUUGCUUUGGCGAGUCAAAUAAACUUGUUUCACCAUUUUCAGUAGAUGCUUGGCAUGUCGAUUCACCCGUAAUUUUACCCCUUUGUAGCAUGGGCGCUGUUUUCAAAAGUGAUUGGCUCCCAACCAAGGUUAAUGAUGCUAUACUUAAUGACUAUGUAAAAACGGGGAAUCUGGACCCUCAAGAGGUUAUCGGUUGGCGCACCGGGUUAGGAGAAGAAGUCCCCAAUCUGAAGGAAGGGGAGAUAGUUGUUUUUGUUGAACACCUUGAACGGGGCUUUAAGCCGCCUGGAUCGAAAUUCCUCAGAGACGCCAUGACUUUUAUGAAUGUCUGCCUCCAGGAUUUAGGACCCAACUCGAUAAGCAAUCUAUGCCAGUUCCAAGUGUUUUGUGAGGCUUACUUGCGAAUGGAACCCUCGUUUCUUUAUUUUGGUACUUCUUCCACUUGAAUCGCCAAAAAGAAUUUCACAAUGGCCCUAGUCUGGAGCUUGGAGGUGUCAAUGUUCAGCGUCGUAGGGAUAGUCCAUUACCAUCACUCGCCAUGCCAAGCCAUCCCAAAGGCUGGGGCGAGUCUUGGUUUUACUGUCGAGAGACUUCGCCUGAGGGCGAGAACAAGCUUCUCGGUUAUAGGAAAGAUCACCUUCCAACAAAUUUUAAACUCCCAGACAAGCUCACCGAAGAAGAGGAGUCAGAUUUUAUCCCAGUAUUGUCCGAGUUAAGAUCUCUGACAAACAACGGCCUUACUGGGGUUGACUUGAUCCGCUGCUGGGUCGAAUGGCGUAUCCUUCCUUUAAGUCGCCGGGAGGGAUUAAUGUGUGAUUUUGACGGCACCCUGGAUCACCCUCAGUGCUACUUCCACACGGCUCUGACAGAGAGUGAUAUUGUAACCAUCAUCAAGAAGUUGACCGGCGAACCCGCGGCAAAAUGCGGCCAAAUAGGUCUUAAGCUGUUCUGCAAGAUCAACCCGGCACCAAAGGUAAAUAACUUAACCCGCCUCUUGUUUUUAUUCCUUUCGUCUUACUUGAACUAUGACCUCUUAUAAAAUAUGCCAUUUCAGAAAGGUGAUAAAUUCUGGUCCAAGAGGCCAAAGAAGUCGGCCAUGAAGCAAGCUAGGCCGCCUCCAAAGAAGAAGUCCAAGGGCAAGGGCAAACCCGCCGUUACUGAGCCAUCUGAAGCCGAUGAAUCCCAAGUCGGCGACGUACUUUCACAGGUAAAAAAUCCAUCCUCUUUAACUCGCCAUCCAUUUACUGAUAGUUUUGCGUUUACACCUCUAUAUAUUUUGUGUAGAAUGAGGACAAUGAAAGCCAGGAAGACUCCGUAGAGGUAAUUUCUGUUUCCUCCGACUCAUCUUCUUGUCCACCUAAGCCGACCAGGCGAAUUUGUGGAAAAGUUCCCUUCUCACACCUAAAUGCUUGUUUGGAUCCAAAUUUCCUUCUGAAGAAAGCACAACAUGCCUCAAAUCGGAAAACUCGAAGUCAUUCUGGAGACCUAGUGUCCAGGUUACCAACAAGAAACAAGAAAAGGCAAAAUGAGGUAUCUUUUAAUAACAGUUCUUCAGGUCCUUUUGGAUCGCGUUUGUAACUCGCUCAUAUCUUCGAGGUAUUAUUUUUGCAGAGUUCUCCACCCACAUCUGGCGAUUCAGUGAUGUCGGCACUCCCACCAAUGAUCCGUGUCCCCGGGUAAGCCUUUGACAACAUUCACCUUUGUUCUGAUGGUGGUAACAUCAACUCCUUUAAACGCACCCUCUUCUCUUUUUAGGGCACAGGCGAAGAAAAGGAAAACUGGCGGGUCAACUCCCCUUACAGCUUCGGAGCCUAUUGAACAAUCGACGCCGAUCCAGGAUAACCCAGACCAAGACAAGCCUGAAGAUCAAGCGGAUCUCCCCAACUCGCCCAAGGAAACCAUAGAAACACCUAACCCGCCAAGUCCAUUGAAAACAGCAGAAGACCCAGACGCUGUAGUUAUCACCGGUACUCACUUCUCUAAGCCGGCCACAUCGGUUUUAUCGAAGCAUGUAUCAUCAUCAGCUCAACCUGUUUUUGAGCAUGAACUUUCCAAGGCUAAGCUCUCCCAAUAUGAGAAUCUCGAAUUCAAAGAACUUUGCUCUGGCUUUGCAAGUCGCCUGGAGGCGAGUUAUGAGAUGGAGAAAAGCCUGCUUCGACUGCUGAAGAACAAACAUGAGGUACGUCUUAUUGCACACUGUAUUAUCCUCAUUAACCCCCAAGGGCCGGGUCAUCGGUAAAAAGAUGAGCCGGGUCUUGAUAAUUGAAGAAAAAACUUUCGACCUGUAACCCCCAAGGGCCGGGUCAUCAGUAAAAAGAUGAGCCGGGUCUUGAUAAUUGAAGAAAAAACUUUCGACMUGUAACCCCCAAGGGUCGGGUCAUCAGUAAAAAGAUGAGCCGGGUCUUGAUAAUUGAAGAAAAAACUUUCGACCUGUNNNNNNNNNNNNNNNNNNNNNNNNNNNNNNNNNNNNNNNNNNNNNNNNNNNNNNNNNNNNNNNNNNNNNNNNNNNNNNNNNNNNNNNNNNNNNNNNNNNNUAGGGCGAAUUCGCCAUGGCGGCGUCGGAGCGGGAGGCCGCCCUCCUCGCCCGCGUGGCCGCGAACCACCUCUUCCUCGCUCAGUUUGAGCCCAUGCGCGCGGCUCUACUCAGCCUCCGCCGCCGCACCGAUCCCGAUCUCGCCGCUGACUUCCUCCGCGCAGUGGUCGCCUCGGGGGGGCGCGUCCCUGGCGUGCUCUGGUCGGCGCUGCCCGCCUGCCCCUCUUCCUCCCACCUCGCCUGGCUCGCCGCGCUUGAGCUCGCUGCCCUCCCUUCCACUCCCAACCCCGAGUCGCUCCGCCUCAAGGCUGAAUUUCUCAUCCUUCUCCAGCCCAUCGCUGAUGACCCUGCCACCGGCGCCGAUGCUCGGGGAACGAUCGUGGAGCUUCUGGAUUUGGGGGUGGCGAGGCUGAAACGCGAGGUCGACGGCUAUGGGGAACUUGUCGAGGAGGUCUCGGUCACCGAGGAGGAUCUGAGGGGGUUGUGGGGUGUGGUCCUCGACAAUGCCGAGCUGUUUGACGCCCUGUGUGCGGGCGUUUCGAGGCAGAUCGGACUGGACUCGGGUUUUGGUGUAAAUGUGCUCCUGUGGUUGCGACGUAGCGUGCAGCUCGCCCACUUGGACGCCAUGAAGGCGCUUGUCACGGCUGGUGACGUCGAAAGUGCUACUGGGCAUAUCCGGUUCCUCUGUUUGGAGAAUGGCGUAGAGGAGGACAGUUAUAAGUAAGCUCUAUUGCAGCACCUUUUGUUAAUUUCUAAAUAUGAAUCCGGUCAUCAUUUCCUGUGGAACAUCUCGACAUAUGUUUGAUAAGGUUGCAAGCUAAGAAUUUAACAGGCAUCUCAAGCUGACAUGGUGUGGUUGGUUGUAGCUUUAGGUACAACCUGCAUUUGUGUGAUUGCCUAUUAAGAACAUUCGAGCUAAAUUACAGCCUUGAGUUAAGGUCCAUGUGUAUGUCAUGGAUGAUCUUUUGUAGUCCCAUUCCAUACCAAUGUCUCGAUGAAAACAGUGAGCCCCUCUACUCAUGUGAUAUUCUUUGUUGGUACUGGAAUUUGCAAAUUACAAGUUUUAGACAUGCUUGUUUACCAUCAUUCAUCAUGAUAGUUCAAUGGGCGCAAACCAGGAAAGUAAGAUGAUAUGCUCUUAAAGUGACUAGUGAACUGCUAACCACCAGGUGUUAUUCAAAGCACUGUUGUCGAAUUUUAAUGUAGCAUCACCAUAUCCGUGUUUGUCAUUUCAGAUUAGCACGUUUAAGUGUGUGGUGAUAGAUCUAGAUAUGACCAAAUGUUCAAUAUUUUUUAAUAUAAUUUUUUGUACAGGGUUGUCCUAGGUGAUCUAGUGAAAAAGGGUUGGGAAAAAUCAUCAAAUUAUUUUGGAGAAUGGUUUCAAUCGCGUAAUAGAAUUAUUAAGAUUUAUGGAGAAGCACUUAAGUCAAGCAGUCCCCAGCUUGUUCAAGUAAUUCAGGUAAAUGCAAAAUUUUCAUUCUUACUGGUAUGGUUCUUCCAUUGAAGUAGUUUACCACGAAUUUGGUUGCCUGUUCAUUUUUGUCAGCCUCCCAUUACCCGUCGAUGACAUGUGAUCAUCUACAAGAAGGGAAAUUUUAUUUACUUCUGUAGCGCACAGAAAUUCAACACCAUCGAACACUCUGAAUCCCGGAUUCUGAGCUUUAUCCCUUCAUCAUUAUUCCGUGCUUUAGUUGAACAAUAAAUUAAUGGCGGUGGCCAGUUGUACCUUCACUGUUACUUCCUUAUCCAUUGUACCUAAGAACAUCCACAUCUCUUAUCACCUAAUUUAGGUGCUAAGACUGGACGCAUCAGCUCUCUCUGUAAUAAUAAAUUUGCUUCCACCUCGCAUUUGUGGCGCUGAUGCUACCUUGUCUAUCUCUCCUUUAGAUUCUACCCAGGAUCAUCUGAUGCGGAUGCUCUAGCAUAUUGCCAGUAUUUAGCUUUUGGAAUGAUUAUACAUACUUGGUUUUAGAUAGCUGAUGCUAAUAUCUUUUAUUUUUUAUUUUUGGCUACCGAUACUAGAUCAUUCUGGAUGGCAUUCUUUCUGAAGAAUUUGAAGACCACAGUAUCUCUGAUGCUCAUUGGAUGCCUCUUCCUUUCAAGAAGUUUCUGGAAACAUUGUGGUUGGAGAGGGAUGCUGAUUCCGAUGACAGGACCGUCUUGACCGAAGCUAUAGUAUCCUGCAAGAAAGAUCUGUACCAUUAUUCUCGGCUUUCUGGAAAGCAUGUCCUUGAAGUUAUCAUGGAAACUGCUCUAUCAUUAGUUAAGAGAGAACAGCUUCAAGAAGCUGUUAAUGUAUGCACGUUUUCAGUGGAAUACUGCCAUUUAUUUAUUUGUGGAUCUGCUAUGAGCACUGCAGAACUGAUUCUGCUGUUUUCUGCCGCAUUAACUUCUGGCAAGUUGCUUUUUUGCAGGUUGUUUCUUUAUUUCCCCUUCUCCAGCCAUUGGUUGCUGUGUUGGGUUGGGAUAUUCUGAAAGGUAAGACAGAACUGCGGAGAAAGUUAAUGCAGUUGUUCUGGACAAGCAAAUCCCAAGCUCUGCGACUACAAGAAUAUUCACAUUACCGUGCACAGACAGAUGAGGUACUUCCUUUUCUCCUGAAUUAUCUUGCCUCUGUGAUAUUGUUUAGCAAAAAUAUGUGAAGGACUAUGAAUUUUCCAUUGGCAGGCAUCCUGUGAGGAGUACCUAUGUGACCUGUUAUGCUUUCAUCUGGAUCUUGCAUCUUUCGUUUCCAGUGUGAAUUCUGGGCACCCUUGGAAUUUGAGGAAUUCGUUGUUGUUCUCCCAACAAGAGCAAGAUUCAGUUGUUAAUGCAGAAACAUUAGACCCUUUUGUUGAGAACAUGAUACUCGAGCGGUUAGCUGUUCAGACUCCCAUGAGAGUGAGUUCUCUUAUCUGAAUUUGUGAUCUCAUUUAUUUAUGAUUCUACAUGUGGCCAUAUGUUUAUCAGUCCUUCACACCUUCUACGGUUGCCUUAUAUGCAUUUUGGUCUCCCAUGUUGCUUGCAAAAGUAUCAUCCUAGUUGAUAGUUUGAUGCUCUUCUGAUUUAUUUUUUACUUGCAGGUGCUGUUUGACGUAGUCCCAGGAAUAAAGUUUCAAGAUGCAAUCGAGCUUGUUGGUAUGCAGCCACUUUCUUCAACAACUGCAGCUUCGAAAAGGUUCGCAACCAACUUUUUUUGAAGACAGUGCAGGAGUACAACAACAACAACAACAAAGCCUUUAGUCCCAAACAAGNNNNNNNNNNNNNNNNNNNNNNNNNNNNNNNNNNNNNNNNNNNNNNNNNNNNNNNNNNNNNNNNNNNNNNNNNNNNNNNNNNNNNNNNNNNNNNNNNNNNNNNNNNNNNNNNNNNNNNNNNNNNNNNNNNNNNNNNNNNNNNNNNNNNNNNNNNNNNNNNNNNNNNNNNNNNNNNNNNNNNNNNNNNNNNNNNNNNNNNNNNNNNNNNNNNNNNNNNNNNNNNNNNNNNNNNNNNNNNNNNNNNNNNNNNNNNNNNNNNNNNNNNNCCUUUAGUCCCAAACAAGACAGUGCAGGAGUGCUGCAUGUAAAUAUAUUAGGAUAUGAAAAAAGUCUUGCAUGCACGAGGGGAGCGACCAACAAUAAGUUUGAAAAACCAGAACGAAAACACACUGUACACUCAAAACAGGAAAAAAACCCCGCCUACAACCAAAGCCUCUCAUCUCGCUACCCCAGCCAAGCUUCAGGAUUUGAAGUGCGUUGCACCGCUCGCCGAUAUGAAAGUGUCCUUGACAACCAUUUAUGACAUCACAUUUGUAGCUGCUAUGUUGUAUUAACAUCUUAUAUAAAUAUCAUCUUCUAUGCUUCAUGUUUCCUGCAGCAUAAAGAUUUCCCCCUCUUUAGUUUUUGACCUGAGCAUAAAUAUUGUAUACCCCCCCCNNNNNNNNNNNNNNNNNNNNNNNNNNNNNNNNNNNNNNNNNNNNNNNNNNNNNNNNNNNNNNNNNNNNNNNNNNNNNNNNNNNNNNNNNNNNNNNNNNNNNNNNNNNNNNNNNNNNNNNNNNNNNNNNNNNNNNNNNNNNNNNNNNNNNNNNNNNNNNNNNNNNNNNNNNNNNNNNNNNNNNNNNNNNNNNNNNNNNNNNNNNNNNNNNNNNNNNNNNNNNNNNNNNNNNNNNNNNNNNNNNNNNNNNNNNNNNNNNNNNNNNNNNNNNNNNNNNCCCCCCCCAACACACAGAACAAAAGAGCACACACGCAGAGAGAGAAGAAAACUUGCGGGAUUGUUCACUGAUGAAUUGACACUAUUGUUCUCGUUAGCAGUUUAUUUCAUGUGGGCUUCUUGUACCUAUGGCAGGAUGCAUGACAUCGAGCUGAUGCACAUGCGAUAUGCUCUACAGUCAGUCAUCCUUGCUUUAGGGGAGAUGGAGAAGUGUUCAGGUGAUGACAAUGAGCACCAUUAUCACAUAGCUUUGUCAUAUUUGAAGGAGAUGCAAAAUUUUAUGGAGGCUAUCAAAAGCACUCCACGAAAGGUUGGCUCUGCUUUGUUAUAUCGAUAUUUUCAGGAGUCAUGCUAGAAUGCUAGUCUUGAAAGCUUCAGAGAAGUCGUCAGUUCCUUGAAUAGUUAAGCCUCAUUGGGCUACCUUCCUUUGCAGAUUUUCAUGGUCAGCAUUGUGUUAUCAUUAUUACAUAUGGACGACAGUAUCAAGUUGCCGCAAGCUGCCCCCCCAGAGUGUUCUGUCAAUCAUGAUUGCUGUGUUAGUAAUACUGAAUCUGAAGGGAAGAACAUGGUGAUAUCUUUUGUUGGACUUCUGCUUGACAUACUUAGGCAUAAUGUCCUGUUUAAAGGCCCUGAUAUGGAUCAGUUGCCAAGUACUGGUCUGUCACCUGCUGGCAGGCAAGCAUUAGAGUGGAGACUCAAACAUGCCAGCCAUUCCAUUGAAGACAUGGAUUGGCGUCUAUCUGUUUUACAACGCCUCCCACCUCUGUCUGGACGACAAUGGAGUUGGAAGGAGGCAUUAGUUGUUUUACGUGCCGCUCCUUCAAAAUUGUUGAACGUGUGAGUUUUCUGUUCUGUACAUUGGUUUCUUUCUGUAUUUUACUUUAAUCACUUUAUGCAUCUAAGAUCAGGCUUUAAUGUGUGCUCUUUGCGCAUUACCCAGUAUAAUUACCUCACGUAUUUGUUCACUAUAUUGGGGUCACAUGUUGGUAAAUAUCACUGUUUAUGCUCUGUGCUUCUUUUGAAACUUCUGUAGUUCUCUCUCCAUGUGUGUGUGUGUGUGUGNNNNNNNNNNNNNNNNNNNNNNNNNNNNNNNNNNNNNNNNNNNNNNNNNNNNNNNNNNNNNNNNNNNNNNNNNNNNNNNNNNNNNNNNNNNNNNNNNNNNNNNNNNNNNNNNNNNNNNNNNNNNNNNNNNNNNNNNNNNNNNNNNNNNNNNNNNNNNNNNNNNNNNNNNNNNNNNNNNNNNNNNNNNNNNNNNNNNNNNNNNNNNNNNNNNNNNNNNNNNNNNNNNNNNNNNNNNNNNNNNNNNNNNNNNNNNNNNNNNNNNNNNNNNNNNNNNNNNNNNNNNNNNNNNNNNNNNNNNNNNNNNNNGUGUGUGUGUGUGUGUGUAUCACAUGGUUGUGGAGUUCAUUGGAAUUCUUGACAGGUGCAUGCAAAGGGCAAAUUAUGGUAUAGGAGAGGAAGCUGUACAACGAUUUUCUUUGCCUGCUGAGGAUAAAGCUUCUCUUGAAUUAGCCGAAUGGGUAGCUGGUGCAUACAGAAGAGCAUUGGUAUGCCUUUUCUUGUCUUUUUUUUGUUUCUUUAUUGGUUGAGAUGAAGUGGCGUCCCCCCUUUUUUGUCUAUGCACAUGUAGCACAUAGAAUUUUACACUUAUGCUCUUCCGCUCUCCCCCUCCCUCUCAGCAGAGGGAAGGAAAGAUGGAAGGGAAAUGAUUGGAAGUGUGGAAGUGGUAGAAAUGUAUGAUUAUAAGUGCCAGUCACAGAAGUAGCAAACUCUCGUCAGAGGGAAAGAGAUGUAAAUGAAUUGAGAAUGUGGAAGUGGCAAAAGUUAUGAUUUUAAGUCCCCACAUAUGACCUUAAGACGCAAAAAACCGUACCUUGAAAUAUAUUUGUGAAAUCAGAGAACAUUAUAAUACUAUAAAAAGUAUCUGUUAAGAUAAACCUACUCAAGUAUUCAUAUGUCCAACCUAUAAAAAGUAUCUGUAAAGAUAAACCUACUCAAGUAUUCAUAUGUCCAACCUAUAAAAAGUAUCUGUAAAGAUAAACUUACUCAAGUAUUCAUAUGUCCAACCUAAAUGUUUGAUUGCAAUUCUAGAUGCCACCUUAUUCUUUGACCGGACAGAGUGCAUAUCAAACCAUUUUGCAGUGUACUCAUAUUAGAAUUUUUGGAUAAGCAGAUAUACAAUCUUGUGAUCUGCUAUCAAUCUAUCUCAGGUGAGUACUUGAUUGUGGCAGGAUUGAAGGAAAAAUGACAAAUGGGUUCUGUGCAGUACCCCCACUUCAUUUUUGCUUUCGUCAGAAUAAUUAAACAACGUUUGAUAUUACAAAAUAUUUUAAGGUUGUGUCAAACUUUAUGUUUCUUAUUUCCUUGUUUUAUGUCCCAGGUUGAGGAUGCUCUAAAUCGGGCCACAGACAACCCAAAUGUUGCAGGCGAAUCAGAUAUUUUGUCAUUCCGUGCUCAGCUUGGUCCUUUAACUACGGUCAGGAUUUUUAAUCAUGAUCUGCAUUUGAUGUUGUGAUAGGUAUUCGUGGUAUUUGACCUGACAAUAAAUCUGAACCGUCAGAUUCUGCUUUGCAUUGAUGUUGCUGCAACUUCUGCUAGGUCAGGGGAUAUGUGUCGAUUUCUUCUCGAUGAGGUAAGUGUUGACUGUCAUGCAUUUCUACAUCUCGGACACUCACUUUUGGUACAGUAUCUAGUACAUUGUGUAUAUCUUCACUCAUGCUGUUAUACAAUUUCUGGUGAGAAGAUGGUUUUAACUGAUAAAUUUUUGGGGAGCUUCCUGUAAAUAUUUUUAGUGGAAUAAUAGGCUAUCCAUUCAUUUUUGCCUUGUAUUAUUAUGUCACAAUCUUCCAAAUUUGAAAAUUUGUGGAUUUCUUAGUGAUUGAUUGGAUCAUCAACACAGAUCAAGUCUCGUCCUGCAUUCUGUACUAGUGCCCGUAGGAACACUACCCGUCUGGUCCACAUUCCUUGCUACCCACCACCAACGUAACACGACGCCAUUCCCAGACCUGGGUAUCUGGUGACUAACCAGAACGUACUUUGCCUUCUCUGUGUUUUGUCUUGUUUAAUCUGGCAUCUGUUUUUUGCUACCAGAAAGUGUGUAGCCAUAUAUGUCAAUUCUAGUUGCACAAGCUAGCCAAGUUCAGUUAGGUAACCAUAUUGCUUUGAUUAUAGUGCCAUAGUGUGUGUAAACUGUCAAGCUUGUAAAGAAAGUGUAUAACCUGACGUUUUCUUUUUCUCAUGUACAGGCUACAAGUUUGUUAUCUGAAAUAUUUCCAGGAACCUCCCCAAAAAUAGGUCCCACUUAUUGGGAUCAGAUUCAAGAAGUUGCUAUCAUAUUAGUGAUAAAGCGCAUCCUUCAGCGCCUGAGUGGCAUUUUAGAUCUGGUGAGUUUUUUAUUUGCUUGUGCCUAUCUGUAAAUCAUGCAUGGUUCAUUUUCUUCAUUGAGUUUCUUCCUCUUGUGUACCAUUUGUUUAUUUACUUGCGAGAUGUUUGCGAAUCUUAACGUACGAUUUCAGCGUUGGAGGAUGUAUCAAAGGCCUCUCAGUUUUACAUGUUCAGUAGCAUAAUCUAAUGCCAUACUCUUCCUUUAUAAAACGGUAUUUGAUUAUUUUUAUGGCUUUGAUUUUAAAUAUCACACCAAAAAAAGAUAUCUGUGAUUAUGAUGUCAUAUUGUCCACAAAUCGACUUGACUAUGUAGUUAUUUUUUAAUACCAAUAGUGCAUACUUUUUGGUGUCAUCUAGGAAGGUCGUCCAUAUCUUCAAUUAGUUUUUACCGAAGUGAGUGCCUCUUUGUCAACUGAAUCUAGCAGAGUUGGACAAAAGCAACGUCCACUUGGGCUCCUGCAUCAGAUGAUUGAUGAUGCCUUCAGAGGAAAGCGUCAGUUCUUGAAUGGUAAUGCCUACUUUAUUCAGUUGAACUGUAAUUGUUGUUGUGAUUAUGUUCUAGAGGCAUUUCUGAACUUUCCUAUUUCAGGUAAGCUUCACAAUGUUGCAAGAGCUAUUGUUGAUGAAGAUUCGGAUAAAACUUACUCAAAAGACGGUACCAAGUCAGAAAAAAAAGAUGCUUUGAUAUCUGAAAAAGGUACAGUCCUUGGUCAUGGACUUAGAAUCCUGAAGCAAGCAUCUAAGGCUGACCCAACAACUUCAAGCGUUCCUGAAAGCAGUUCGGACCACAAAGGUUCUACAAACAGAUACUUGGCUCAUGUAUCUACCAAGCCGUCGACAUACUUAUCAAACUUCAUAAUAUAUAUCGCAACCAUUGGUGACAUAGUUGAUGGAACUGACACGACUCAUGAUUUCAACUACUUCUCAUUGGUGUAUGAACGACCAAAAGAUGUAAGCUCCUUCACACGCUGGCUAAAAAACGUUCCAUUUGUCCUUUUCUUCUACUUCUUGCAAAAAUUACAUGAAAGACCAUAGCAAAUUGUCCUCUUUAGAAUGACAUUUACUACUAAUAACUGGAAAUGGAGUGCUGGUUGUAUUUGUAAUAAUCACCUAAAACAAAUAACUACCCCCUCUGUCCCAAAAUUCUUGUCUUAUGUUUGUCUAGAAAUGAAUGUAUCUAAAUACCAAAACAUGACUAGAUACAUUCAUAUCAAGACAAAUACUCCCUCCGUUUCUAAAUAUAAGUCUUUGAAGAGGUUUCACUAAAAGACUACAUACGGAUGUAUAUAGACAUACUUUAGAAUGUACAUUCAUUCAUUUUACUCCGUAUGUAGUCACUUAGUGAAAUCUCUAAAAAGACUUAUAUUUAGGAACGGAGGGAGUAUAAGACAAGAAUUUUGGGACGGAGGGAGUACUUUUUAAGAAAUUCACUCCACCUACAUGUUUAUUACUUCAGUUAUCCUAUAAUUCACUUACAUAACUCAUUCCCAUAUUAUCGAAAAGGGGAGGAUAAGCAGGAAGAACUACCUAUCUUUCACUUCAAGAGUGGGGAUUUGCACCCAAGGUCUCAACCAGGGACGUAGCUAGGAAUUGUAUUUGAGGGGGGCCAGUGAANNNNNNNNNNNNNNNNNNNNNNNNNNNNNNNNNNNNNNNNNNNNNNNNNNNNNNNNNNNNNNNNNNNNNNNNNNNNNNNNNNNNNNNNNNNNNNNNNNNNNNNNNNNNNNNNNNNNNNNNNNNNNNNNNNNNNNNNNNNNNNNNNNNNNNNNNNNNNNNNNNNNNNNNNNNNNNNNNNNNNNNNNNNNNNNNNNNNNNNNNNNNNNNNNNNNNNNNNNNNNNNNNNNNNNNNNNNNNNNNNNNNNNNNNNNNNNNNNNNNNNNNNNNNNNNNNNNNNNNNNNNNNNNNNNNNNNNNNNNNNNNNNNNNNNNNNNNNNNNNNNNNNNNNNNNNNNNNNNNNNNNNNNNNNNNNNNNNNNNNNNNNNNNNNNNNNNUUGAGGGGGGCCAGUGAAACAUGUAAAGCAUUGAGGGGGGGGGGGCAUGCAUAAUAAUUUAGCGGUCAAAUUCAUAAGUGCACGUACUACAUAGGGGCAGGUUAAGAUUUUUUUACAGCAUGGGGGGAGCCAUGGCCCGAGCUCACCCCCCGCUGGAUCUGUCCCUGGUCUCAACAACCAGAGUCUUAUCCCUUACCUUACCUUACCACUGGAGCCACAAAGGGUGCCCUCUGAUUACCUAUUAUGGGACAUUCUCUUCUACUCCCUCCGUCCCAAAAUAACUGUCUCAAGCUUAGUACAAAUUUGUACUAGAGCUAGUACAAAAUUGAGACACUUAUUUUGGGACGGAGGGAGUAUUUUCUAAAUGACAAAAUUAGCCUGUUUCCAUUGCAAGGAAGUUGAAAUCCAUCCAACACGAGAAUGACAUGAGGGCCAGGGUCACAUGUCACUGGCAUAACGCAUGGAAGUAUCCUACUUGGUAAUCUUUAUGAUGGUGCAGUAAUACAACCUACACGGCAGGCAAUGUUCUAUGGCAAGCAAAUCGGAGCUGUUAUGAUGGUCCAUGGCUAAGUGGAUGAAUAAGUUCCCAUGGCGUCUAGUAUGUUGAUAUAUCUUUGGCCGCUGUGAACGUGGGAACCUCAUGGCUGAACAAAUAAUAAAUAAAUAUUAGUUAUCACUUGUAGGUAUCCGUGGGGUUUCGUCUACGAGCUUAGAGCAUCUCUGACCGACCCCCUAUAACUUAGAGGAGUAAAUGGCCGAGUAUUCUUUAGAGGAGUACAUUUGCUCCUCUAAAAAAAGUGUCAUUUCUAAUCGCUCCCCUAAACCUAGAUUAAAACUUACAUUUGGCUCAUACAUUUCGUCAAACAAUUGUUAUGCGCUUCGCGACGAGUGACGACGAUGUUGACCACGCCGGAGUCACGAGUCCUCGUCCGCUGCCGAACACAUCACACAUAUCGCCCGCCUCAUCAUGUUGUUGCUCACUGCCGCGCGUGCUGCUCGUGCUUCCCGGGUCGAUGCCGAGCCGCCUGAGUGAUGGGAGCUGCAACCUGAGGUACCCGGAGGUGCCAUCCGCUCCAUCCUCAUAGCGUGCUUCCUCUAGUGGUUGGACCAUGAACCCAUCGUAGCGGCCGCCGUCAAAGACAGCUCCGGCGUGUCCAACAAGUGGCUGUGGAUACCGCCGCCAAGGCCAGGUACAAGAUCGUGCAUAACCUCCUCCACCGUGGCUUCGGCGGCUCUGACUAUGGGAGGAGCGCCGCCGGGCUAGGGACGAUGAGGAGGAGCGUCUCCGUGGCCGAAGGCGAUGGAAAUGACAAAAAAUUUAAGAAAGAAAGAUUGCCGGAAUCUCGCUAGAAUUUGGUGGCGGAAGGUCGACGGGGCUGUGGGGUGUCGUCGGAGGUAAGGAGGGAAGCGUCAGAUGAGUAUUUUUACUCCACGGGUUGGCAGACAAGUAUUUUUCCUCCUCGGCGAGGCCGUGGAGGAUAAACUAUCCUCCUCUAAAUGUUAUAAGGCCUCGUUUGGUUAAGGGGGAUUGGAGAGGUUUUGAGAGGGAGGGAUUUCAGGGGGAAUCCCUUUGUUCCACCCAAUCCUCUCAAAUCUCCGGGGUUUUGCUUCAACUAGUCCCCCGAGGAGGAUUUUAAAACACAUGGAUAGGAAGGGAUUGAAGGGGAACGGAGGGGAUUGGACUAAGCAAAUCCCUCCUACCAAAUGGACGCCCGAGGAUCUGUGGGGUUUCUGGGCCCCCCGGGGAUUUUCCUCACAAAACCUCCCCAAUCCCCCUUAACCAAACGAGGCCUAAGGGAUUGGUUAGGUGUCGAUUAGAGGAGGAAAACAGAAUUUAUCCUCCUCUAAUCGAUUAUAGGGGAUUGGUUAGAGAUGCUCUUAUGUGGUGAAAUAUUUGCAACCCAUGUUAGUCUAGCUUGGCAAUGGUCAGCGCUGUUCAAUGCGAAAAUUUCUUCAACAACAUUAAUGCAGCAUAGAAACCAUCACCGAUCAGUGCAAGGCAACAUUCAUAAUGUGGAGUGUGAUUGGAGCGAAGGAGCUGCAGGCCUUUACAUGGCAGUAGUCAUUGCGUUGAAUCACCUUUAGAUCUUUGAAUUUUCAUGUUUAUUCAGUCACGCGUUAUGGACCAUUUUUCAUUGGCUUUGUAAAACCUUUUCUAUCUUACUAUACGUACAUGCAGUCUUCCUGCAUGGGCUCCAUUCUUGAUGAUUUCGGGCCCAACCUGAAAUUCUAUGCAUCAGACCACAAUACAACAAAGCCUUUAGUCCCAAACAAGUUGGGGUAGGCUAGAGGUGAAACUCACCAACUCAUGGUUCUGGCAUAUGGAUCGCAAGCUUCCACGCACCCCUUUCCAUGUCUAGUUCUCUAGUGAUACUCUAGUCCUUCAGAUCUCUCUCGAGUCCUUCAGAUCUCUCUUUCCGCAAGUUUGGUCUAUCCCGACCUCUCUUGACAUUAUCAACACACUUUAGCCAUCCGCUAUGCGUUGGCGCUUUUGGAGGCCUGCGUUGAAUAUGCCCAAAUCAUCUCAGAUGAUGUUGGACAAGUUUCUCUUCAAUCGGUGCUACCCCAACUCUAUCUCUGUAUAUCAUCAUUCCGGACUCGGUCCUUCCUUGUAUGGCCACACAUCCAUCUCAACAUGCGCAUCUCCACCACACCUAAUUGUUGAACAUGUCGUCUUUUAGUCGGCCAACAUUCAACGCCAUACAACAUUGCGGGUCGAAGCACCCGUCCUAUAGAACUUGCCUUUUAGCUUUUGUGUCACUCUCUUGUCAUAGAUAAUGCCAGAAGCUUGACGCCACUUCAUCCAUUCGGCUUUGAUUCGAUGGUUCACAUCUUCAUCGAUAACCCCAUCCCUCGACAGCAUUGACCCCAAAUAUCAAAAAGUGUCCUUCUGAGGCACCACUUGCCCAUCAAGGCUAACCUCCUCCUCCUCGUGCCUAGUAGUACUGAAACUGCACCUCAUGUACUCGGUUUUAGUUCUACUAAGUCUAAAACCUUUCAAUUCCAAGGUUUGAUUCCAUAGCUCUAACUUCCUAUUGACCCCGUUCGACUAUCAUCGACUAGCACCACAUCAUCCGCAAAGAGCAUACACCAUGGAAUAACUCCUUAUAUAUCCCUUGUGACCUCAUCCAUCACCAAGGGAAAAAGAUAAGGGCUCAAAGCUGACCCUGGUGCAGUCCUAUUUUAAUUGGGAAGUCAUCACUUUCGCCAUCACUUGUUCGAACACUUGUCACAACAUUAUCGUACAUCUCCGUGAUGAGGGUAAUAUACUUUACUGGGACUUUAUGUUUCUCCAAGGCCCACCACAUGACAUUCGACGACGUCUCUUAUCGUAGGCUUUCUCCAAGUCAAUGAACACCAUAUGUAGGUCCUUCUUUUGCUCCCUGUAUCUCUCCAUGAGCUGUCGUACCAAGAAAAUCGCUUCCAUGGUCGACCUCUCCCGGGCAUGAAACCAAACUGGUUCUUGGUGACGCUUGUCAUUCUUCAGUUUCUCCAACACUUGUUCGAACACUUGUCACAACAUUAUUGUGCAUAUCCUUGAUGAGGGUAAUGUACUUUGCUGGGACUUUAUGUUUCUCCAAGGCCGACCACAUGACAUUCUGCGAUACUUAUCGUAGGCCUUCUCCAAGUCAAUGAACACCAUGUGUAGGUCCUUUUUUUGCUCCCUGCAUCUCUCCAUGAGUUCUCGUACCAAGAAAAUGACUUCCAUGGUCAACCUUUCCCAGGCAUGAAACCAAUCUGAUUUUUGGUCAUGCUUGUCAUUCUUCUUAAGCGGUGCUCAAUGACUCUCCAUAGCUUCAUUGUAUGGCCCAUCAGCUUAAUUCCACGGUAAUUAGUACAACUCUGAACACCCCCCUUGUUCUUGAAGAUUGGUACUAAUAUACUCCGUCUUCAUUCUUUUGGCAUCUUGUUUGCCUGAAAAAUGAGGUUGAAAAGCUUAGUUAGCCAUACUAUAGCUAUGUCUCCGAGGCUUCUCCACACCUUAAUGGGGAUACAAUCAGGGCCCAUCACCUUGUCUCCUUUCAUCCCUUUUAAAGCCUCCUUGACCUUAGAUUCCUGGAUUCCCGCACAAAACGUCUGUUGGUAUCAUCAAAGGAGUCGUCCAGUUCAAUGGUAGAUCUCUCAUUCUCCCCAUUGAACAACUUGUCGAAGUACUCCCGUCAUCUAUGCUUAGGGAUCCUUUGAUUCAAAGGAAUUUUAUAGGAUUUUUGGAGGAUUGAAAUCCUUAGGAAUUUUUCCUACAUUGGUCCUUUGAUUCAUUGGAUUGGAUCCCAUAGGAAUUUUUCCUAUGGAAUCUUUUGUACUGCAUUUCAUAGGAAAUUUAACAUCCACUCCAACCUCUUUUUACAAUUCCUUUGUUUUUUCCUUUGACAUCAAACACUCCUUACUAAUCCUAUAGGGUUUAAAUGGACAUACCGCUCCAACGCUAUAUGUCGGUGCGCUAAAGAAUGGGCCUUUAGCGCCCAUGACUUGUGCACAUGCAGUGGUAGCCAUGCCCGCGACAAGACUGCUAGGGACGACGGGAAGUAGAGGGGAAGCCCUCAGAAUGUCGCCUAGAUCAACAGGCAGGGAGGACCCGAAGGAAAAAGCCCCGGCAAGAUCGGGGACAUGACAACUACCCGACAAGACCUUCGACGCCCGCCUCGGCAAGAUCGGGGACAUGACAACUACUCGACAAGACCUUCGACGCCUGCCCAGGCAAGAGCACCUCUCCGGAGCUCGCGGGAGAUUACCACGAAGGCACCCAAGGCCACAAGCCCAGAAGACUGAAGACAUAGACCCCGACAAGGCUCUUGCCGGGGGAGGCCAGCGAAGCCCAGGCAAGGCCUGCCAGGAGAGUUGGCAACGCUCCAGUACGGUUCGUCCCCGGCAGGAUCUCGACUCGCCCCUGUGCCAGCGCAGCGGCCAGCUGCCCCUCAUCACUUGAUACGUGUCGGUUCGCGCGACGCGUGUCGAGCGGUAUCUGGGGAGAACAGUGCCGAAGGGGCGCGCCCCUGUCCCAUCUUUGGGACACCUGACGAAGCAUUAAAUGCGUCUGCUAUGACGCCAGGAACACUGUAAUUCACUAUACGUCUCGUGGGUGCACUAUUUCACUGUGCACCCCGUGAGAACCCUGUGCUGCCACCGUUGGUAGCCCCUUAGACCUAUAAAAGGAGGCCCUGGACAUGCACGGAGGAGGAUAGAUAGCGAGUCAGUCAGCGAGGACGCAACUAACAGUUCAUCAUCUUUCAUCAGAUAAAUACACACAAAGCAGGAGUAGGGUAUUACGCUUCAAUAGCGGCCCGAACCUGGGUAAAUCCGCCCCCGACCUUUUGGUCUGCUCUUGGUGCAUCCGUCUCCCGCCGAACCACAUGGGACGCCUCCAGGUCCCAUAGGUGCUCGUGAUUCUGCACCCCGACAUCUCUGGCGCGCCAGGCAGGGGAGAAGAACGCUAACCUGACAAAGAGAUCGGGGCAUCAAUUCCGUCAUCAGCACCACCGCCACGGCCUCCGAGGGAAGAGCGGCCGUGGUGGCUCGUCGAUCCGCGGCCACCGCGCCUGUGACUACCUGGGCCAGCGGAGGCUCGGACGAAGGCUAGGGAAGCAGGGGCCCUGGGCCUCCACGCACUCCAGUGGACGCACCUCCUCCUAGAGUGCAGCGUUGCUGUUGAGCACGCGCUGAGGGCUCUGGCAAGACCUCCGGCACCCUCUCCAGCAAGCGCACCCCCCGAGGUGAUGCGUCGUUGUCGAGGGUGUGCCAGGAAGCUCCUGCAAGACCCCAGGCGCUCGCUCCGGUAGGUCUUAGGAGUGUUGCACUGCUGUCGAGGGUACGAGGGGGAGCACCCUCGGCAAGACGUUGCAUCCUUGCCGGGGCCCAUCGCUCCCUAGGAGGCCCAACGCCGCCCUAGCCGCCUCCAGGCCGUCAAGAUCCUUGCUGGCAGCCCCUGAAGCACGGUUGUCGGGGGCUCCCGACAACCAUCCCUUAUGCAAGUUUUGCCGGCAGGGCAUGUAAAUCUUUGCACAAGGCUAAGCACAAAUCCUGUGCACAGUAUAGUAAAAGUUAAGCGUUUCGCAUUUCUUGCCGAUUUUCAUAUUUUUUGGUGUGCCUAGUUGUGCGUUACGCUUACCUCCGGCAAGUGUUGACAAACCACCUAGUUUCCGAAACUUGCCCGCGAGGGAAACUUGGCGUGGCCAAACGCGCCCUUACUUUGCUCCGAGCCCGCUCAGCAACUUAAGCGGUAGCGCUGGAAGUGCCAAGGAAGCCUUGCUGGCAGCAGCGCCUCCAGCAGGUAGCUAAAGAUCCGCUCCUCAGAGCGCCCGCGGUAGGGCUAGCCGCGCCGGAAGGUCCCAGUGAAACGGUUGUUUUCCUUGAUAGAUUUCCCCCUUUUCGAUACGAGAAACCUGCACGCAAAAGGAACCUUGUCACGGUCCGUCGCACCCUUUGUUUCGAGUCCGCUCAACAACCUAAGCGGUUGCACUGAUUGCGUCAAGACACCUUGCCGGAGGCUACACCCUCAGCAGGCAGCCUAGGACCUGUUCCUUCGAGCGCUCGCGGCGGGGCUGUACGCACCGGCAAGGUCGGUCGCGCCAAGGUAGCUUACCGGCAGCGGCGCCCUCGACUGGCUGCUGAGGACCCGUCCUCGAAGCCCAAUACAGCGUAGGGUUUUUGUACCAUACAGGGAGAAAACAGACAAGGAAAAUAACAACCAUUUUUCAUUCAUGAUGACAUAAUAUAUUACAUUGAUAGUGAUUGCCGUACUAACUUAAGAUAACAUUGUCUUUUGCCACGAGGCGGCACCUACAAGAAGUAAAAAGCAGCAAGGCCCGCGGCAAGGGCCCAGGUUGGUCCCUUCUGGACCAACACUGCGCAGAGGAGAAGCCAACCGGAAGGGAUGACGAAGCCGGGGUCCACGAGCCUCCUGGAAGAUGAGGCAGCGUCGGAUCCACCGGCGAGUCCGCCCCGCCGGAGAGGGGGAGAGACGCGAGCUGACGGUGAUGGUGCAGCCGACGGUCAAUCCGAGCUCAGGUCAUCGUACUCCGACUUGACCUUCACCAUAAAUCUUGUCGGAGAGCAGGUCGGCCUCCAGGUCCACAUAGGUGCUCGUGGUCCUGCACCCCGACACUAUACUUCUUCUAUUCCUACGUUUUGAAAAUCCCGCGAAUCAAAGAGGCCCUUAAUCUCCUCGUUCUUCACCAGGAGCUGGUUUGCUCCGUCCUCUUUCCGAUCUUGGCGAUCUUAUAGAUGUCCCACCUUCCUUCGUGUCUAACCACUGGUAGAGGUCCUCAUAAGCCCGACCCCUUGCUUCACUCACAACUCGCUUUGCGGCCUUCUUUGCCAUCUUGUACUUUUCUAUGUUGUCUGCACUCCUAUCCAGGUAUAGGUGUCUAAAACAAUCUUUCUUCUCCUGCUUCUACUUCCCCUGGACACUCCAAACUCCUCUGAGGCCACCUUACGAAUGCAAGUCGCCAUCUUCAUCCACAUAUUGUCUUGCAUCACCUCCUUCCUCCCAAGGCCCCUCCUUAAUGACCCUCUCCUUGAACGCCCGAGCCACCUCCCCCUUGAGCUUCCACCACUUAGUUCUAGCGACUUUGGCACGCUUCUCCCGCUGGGCAUGAAUCCUACAGCGGAAGUCAACCACCACAAGCUUAUGCUGAGGGACAACACUCUCCAGGUAUCACUUUACAAUCCUCUUGGUGUUCUCAUUGUGGCCUACUUGCGGGGCAUACGCGCUGAUAGCAUUGAGAACCGAGUCCCCAACUACCAGCUUGACCAGGAUUAUCUGGUCCCCAUGUCUCUUGACGUCUACCACUCCAUACUUGAGGCUCUUGUUGAUCAAGAUGGUACUCCAUUUCUGUUUGCAGCCGUCCCGUGUACCGCAGCUUGAAACCGGUAUCCUCCACCUCAUUCGCCUUCUAUCCCCUCCAUUUUGUUUCUUGGACGCAAAGGAUAUCAACACCUCUCCUCACCGCUGUAUGCCUGUAUCAACAAGCUCCUGAAGCUUACCUGUCAAGGACCCUCUAGGCUUGGCUAGCUUCCUUACCAUUCGCACUCGUCGAGUCAAAUGCGUAGACCUUUGCUCAUUUUCCACUACACCUGGCCGUCGAUGUAGCGUGCCACUAAGGAUGUGACGACCCGAUCCUUGUUCACUUGCCACCAUAUCCAGAUCAAGAUACGGCGUGCCACCUCGGGAGGGGGGGGGGGGGGGGGNNNNNNNNNNNNNNNNNNNNNNNNNNNNNNNNNNNNNNNNNNNNNNNNNNNNNNNNNNNNNNNNNNNNNNNNNNNNNNNNNNNNNNNNNNNNNNNNNNNNNNNNNNNNNNNNNNNNNNNNNNNNNNNNNNNNNNNNNNNNNNNNNNNNNNNNNNNNNNNNNNNNNNNNNNNNNNNNNNNNNNNNNNNNNNNNNNNNNNNNNNNNNNNNNNNNNNNNNNNNNNNNNNNNNNNNNNNNNNNNNNNNNNNNNNNGGGGGGGGGGGGGGGGGGAGGGGGUGUGACGGCCCGGCCCUUGCCCAAACCCGGGUUUCGAUGUGAUGCAUUGCUGAGGGUUAUGCCCCAACAAAAAUUUUGUGUUUCAUCUCCACAAGAGUGGCUGAGUUUUGACGUUGGCUCGCCAAGCCUAUCACAACCCAGCUUGUCAUUAUAUUGGCGAGCCAACUGUAGUCAUGCCGUAUACUGUUCUAAUUGAGCAUCCUUUAAAAUAUUGCCUAAAAAGAAUGAGAAAAGAGUAACCGACACAUUAUAUUGGUGAAGACAUAAUGUGCAACGCCAUUUAUAUGAAGUGAACCUCUUUAAAGAAUCACAUGGUAAUUAAUGUUCAGUGUCCUUAUGCAUUUUUUAAUGUGAAACUACGAUGGAAUAUUGUUUACAUUCAGUUUCUUUUGUCUUGCUGUUAUUGUACUCCAAAGUGGUUCAAGAAUUAUUUCGGACUCAUAUAAUGUUUGUUCCCCAUGCAGCUUUUAACUCGUUUAGUUUUUGAGCAUGGAAGCACAGACGCAGCUGCGAAGGUAGCUGACACAAUGGGUGUGGAUUUUGUGCACGAGAUAAUAUCUGCUUGUGUGCCACCAGUUCUUCCUCCACGAACAGGACAAGGAUGGGCUUGCGUUCCUAUUUUAACCACAGUUUCCAAUAUUAUUUCUGAAAUCAGUUCAACAGUUCCAAAGUCCCUCCCCCCUAAUCAAGGAUGGAGUCCACAUGAUUCAUUGUUGUCUUCUCGCCUGGAUCCGCUGUAUCCUCUUCAGUUAAAUUUAGUGAAGCAUUUGGCCCAAUUAUCAUCAGUAAGAGCAGUUCUGGCAUGUGUGUUCGGAAGUAGCAUACUAUCUGGUGACAGUGAAUUAUCUCCUACUUAUGUGAAAGAUGCAAUGCAAACCACUGAAGUUGAGAGGUCAUUCUAUGAAUUUGCUCUUGAACAAUCAGAGAGGUAAUGAAUAGUCAUUUUAUGCCGUCAUGUCCCAAUCAACUUCACGUUGUAAGUAUCUAAGUUAUUUGCAGAUAUCCAACCUUGAACCGGUGGAUACAAAUGCAGUCUAACCUUCACCGGGUAUCUGAGUCUGCCGUGGCAGUUAAAACUGAAAAUGAAGUCGCCGUGCAUCAAUCAAAAGGAAAAUUUUCUAUUAAGCGAGCUCGUGAACCUGACAGUGAUGCUGAAUCAGAGCUUGAAGAUGUCGUCAUAAAUGGAAAUGCCGCUUCAAGUACACUAGAAUCUCCUAAACACGAUGAUGCUAAACUAGAGCCAACAGCUUUUAUUUCUUUUGACUGGGAGAACGAAGGACCAUAUGAGAAAGCUGUUGAGAGGUAGCAGGAUUUUACAAGUUUUCCUCGGCCACACCUUUUGCUCUACACAUAAUGAGAGUUUCUCACUUGCACUUGGCCAUUGCUUGCUGUGAUAAUUUUUUUGCGACAAUAAAAUUCGCUUUGUCUUUGUAGGCUAAUUAAUGAAGGAAAACUAACUGAUGCUCUUGCUGUAUCCGACCGCUGUUUGCGCAAUGGAGCGUCUGAUAAAUUACUUCGAUUGCUCAUUGAUCAAAGGGAAGAAAGAAAUCUAGGCACAGGACAAUUCCGUCCAUAUGGAUCCCGUAACUUGGGGAGUAAUACUUGGCAGUAUUGCUUGAGACUGAGGGAUAAAAAACUUGCAGCCCAGCUUGCUCUGAAGUACGUCAUGUCAUUUUGGUUCCAGCCUUGUUAGUACGAUAAACCUUUUGAUUUUGUGUAGCGAAGGCAUUCUUUCAGUUUUAGUAUAUUUGAUACAUGUCCAUUAUGAAUGCAUCACCUUUGCUAUAUUUUUGUUCUCCAGAUAGGCAUAUUGAGUUACUGAGUGCAUACUUCCAUUUCUAGGUACCUGAACAGUUGGAACCUUGACGCUGCAACCAAUGUUCUAACUAUGUGCAUCUGCCACUUACCUGAGAAUGAUCCUAUGCGGAGUAAGGUAGCUUGACUUGCAUUUAUUUACAUUUCAAGUUCACACAUUAUCUUGAAAGGUCAUAUGGACAUAUGUUGUUGUGUGCCUGGUCAAGUCAUGGCUUUACUUAGUAAAAAAAAAACUGUGAUUUCAUUUAUGCAUAUCACCUAACAGAUAUUCCUGUCCAAGCCAACACUAGGUAGCUCUUGCUUGUUUGUCUUGCUAUCUAACUUCAAAACGUAACAAUAUGUGCUUGAGUGCUUACGUUCAUACAUGAUCGCAUCAUUCUAUGACACAACCUGUUUAGUUUGACGCAAAAGGUUCAGUUUCUCAAAACUUAGCUUUUAUGACCUGGUCUAGCAUUUCUUCUUUGUUAUUGUACAAUCCCACCACCCAUUCCUGGUCAUCUUCAACUCGAAUUUAGGGUGCCUGUUAUUCUUAAUUACAUUGAUACCUAGGUCCUUCUAGCUAUCCAUCAUUUUUUUUUAAAUUUUCUGUGUCAUUUUGUAACAGGUGUUACACAUGAAGCAAUCUCUGCAGCGGUAUGGUCAUAUUUUGAGUGCUGAUGACCAUUACACAAGAUGGCAAGAGGUAAGCCAAUCAAUGAAUGUCAUAUGAUUUUGAUCUUCCAUCCCACUAUUUUAAAUUUUGUGACAACAUGGGCUUCAAAAUUGUUCCUUAAAAGUACGUGUCGCUUUUUGUAUCAAAGUUUUCCAUGUUUAAACUUGACCAACAUUCAAAUUACUAGGUCGAAGUUGAUUGUGAAGAUGAUCCAGAGGGGUUAGCACUUAGGCUUGCUGCCAAAGGAGCUGUAUCUGCUGCUUUACAGGUUGCCGAAAGUGCCUCCUUGUCAAUUGAUUUGCGGAGGGAACUGCAAGGCCGCCAGCUUGUCAAACUUCUCACGACUGAUCCACUUAAUGGUGGAGGCCCAGCCGCGGCAUCACGAUUUCUAUCGACCUUACGAGAUUCCAAUGAUGCUCUUCCUGUUGCCAUUGGUGCCAUGAAGUUAUUACCUGACCUGCGCUCAAAGCAGCUUCUUGUAUGUUGCCAGAUCUGAUAAGAGUUAAUUGUACUAAACUUUUCUGACAAGGAUUAAGAUAAUACUGAUUAAUUGUUUCAGGUGCAUUUUUUUCUCAAACGCACAGUUGGGAAUUUGUCAGAUGCUGAGAUUGCUCGACUUAAUUCAUGGGCGCUGGGUCUUCGUGUUCUUUCCUUAUUGCCAUUGCCAUCACAACAGCGUUGCUCUUCUCUGCAUGAACAUCCUCAGUUGAUUCUGGAAGUACUAUUGAUGAUGAAGCAACUCGAGUCUGCAUCUCUGGUAUUCCGUUUCAACUAAUUUUUUGCAUGCCAACUCUCAUCCUUCAGCUUUUUGGGACAACAGAAAUGAUUCUCUCCUUAGAGCUGCUGUUUUACUAGGAACAUGUCAACCUACUGUGCUAAUGGAAUAUUUCUUCUUUAUGACUUCAGGUUUUGAAAGAAUUUCCAUCCCUGAGGGAUGACAAGUUAAUCAUUGCUUACGCUAAGAAAGCAAUCUCCGUCAAUAUCGAUUCUACUCUUAGGGAACCGCGACAAACCAUCUCUGCGGCAAGAGAAAAACAAAAAAAGGUUGCCAUACCAGCUAAAACAAAUUUUGUACAGAGUUUUGGCAACUUUCAGAGAGAAGCACGUAAAGCAUUCUCAUGGGUGCCCCGUGACGGUGGCACCAAACCCCCCCCGAAAGAUAUCCCUCGGAAAAGAAAGAGUUCAGGCUCAGGAGGUGAUAGGUCCUCUUGGGAAGCGAUGCCUGGUGUACAGGAGGAGCAGACACCUGUAUACCCUUCUGAAGGACAAGAUAGACUUCCUUUUGUUUCUGCUCCUGAGGAGUGGGUGCUUACCGGAGAGCCUGACAGGGAUAACACAACUCGUUCAUGUCAUAGAUAUGAAUCCUCUCCAGAUAUUGCACUAUUCAAGGUGUGUUGUUUGCUUAUCAGGCUUAUCUUUUUCCGAAUGCUACUGACUUUCAAGUUCUUAUCCUGCAUUAUUCUGGAUUAUCCUCAGUUGCCCUUUUUCCAUAUUAUGCAUCAAGGGCAGCUAGCUUUGGAUUAUCGAUCUAACAUUAUUUCUUGAUGUGCCAUUUUUUUAGUAGUUAAGUUGGAAAUACUGCUAAAUUGGACUUGAUUUUAGAUUAAUAUUAUUAUUGGAAAAAAAGAAUGAAGUGUCAAUAUGAAGCAACUUCUGAAGUGUACAUAAGUGAUAGUGUCAAUUUUCUGUCAACUAUUUGUGUAAUUCUUUGUGAAUCAAAUUCUAGGCAUUGCUUUCACUGUGCACCGAUGUGUCAGUAGCCGGAAAAGGUGCACUUGAACUGUGUGUUACUCAGAUGAAGGUUGUACUAAGCUCCCUACAGUUGCCUCUCAAUGCAUCUAUGGACAAUGUAGCCCGGGCUUAUCAUGCAACGGAAACUUAUGUGCAGGUAUGAAAAAGAACUAGCAGCAUGGUACUUUUGAGUAUCAUAACUUGGUAGAUUAACAUCAAUGACAUUCCAUCAGGCAAUCUCUUAUGCAAAAAAUCUACUAAAAAAGCUCAGUGGGAGUAGUGAUUUGUCAAGUGGCUCUGAAAGAAGUAGAGAUGCUGACGAUGUUUCUGUGGACGCUGGCAGUUCAAGCACCGGGGUCCAACAUCAAGAUGAGCUGUCUGAUCUCCUUGCUCAAGCAGAUAUGUGGCUAGGGCGUGCCGAACUUCUUCAAAGCCUGUUGGGAUCAGGUAUUAUUGCAUCACUUGAUGAUAUUGCUGGCAAAGAGUCUUCAACUAGUCUACGUGACAGGCUGGUCAGUGAUGAGCGAUACAGCAUGGCUGUAUAUACUUCUAAGAAGUGCAAGGUGAAUAUUACAGCUUGUUUCUGUCUGUACUUUAUAAUUUUCAUAACAGUGAUGAUAAGGUAAUUUAAUGUCGCGAUCAAUUUCAGAUUGAUGCUUUUCCAGUGUGGGUUGCAUGGGGCCAUGCUCUAGUUCGAAUGGAACACUACGCUCAAGCCCGUGUGAAAUUUAAGUAAGGGGAAACUCUUCUUUGUUGUUUCUCACUUUCUCUAUAAGUGCCUGCCUGCAAAAGAAAUGGAAGAUUUAGUUAGAAAUACAAAAGAAAUCAAGGAAACAAAUAGAUAAAAAAACACUGCCUUCAGGAAAAAGAAGACAUUAGAGGAUGAUGAACCGCAACCAGAAUGCAUUCAUCCUGCGACAAAGCCUACAGGACAACUUCGUCCUCGUCAGGCAAUCGCUGAAGCAGCUGCACCAACUUGGGGGCCCGAGAGUUAUGCUCAAACCAGACCUCACACUUGGGGCCUUUGACUCCUUGUCAUGGCUCUUCCUCUUUGAGGUCCUCGAGCAGUACGGGUUUGGGCCUCGAUUUCAAGAGUGGAUCGCUAUCCUGCUAUCGACAUCCAGCACCAGGAUCCUGCUCAACGGCGAGCCAGGGCCGCCAAUCUGGCAUAGAUGCAGGCUGCGUCAAGGUGACCCCGUGUCCCCGCAACUCUUCGUGCUUGCCGUGGACACCCUGGGCCGCCUCAUUCGCCGUGCCCACGACUAUGGCAUCCUGCAUGAGCUGCACCCACGGCGAACCAUCCCGGCUAUCUCACCCUAUGCCGACGACGUGAUGAUCUUCUGCCACGCUACACCAGACGAUGUGGAAGCCGUCAAGGGUAUAUUGACCCUGUUCGGCAACACUAGCGGCCUACGGGUUAACUACACCAAAAGCUCGGUAACUAUCCUCCACGGCGACCCAAGCACUGCCGCGAUGAUUACCCAAGUGGGAUGCUCGGUGGUGGAGCUCCAGAUCAACUUUUUUUUUUAGAAAAGGAGGAAGACCCCCGGCCUCUGCAUCUGAGCGAUGCAUGCAACCAUUUUAUUAAUUAUUCACAAAGAUCUUACAAAGUAAUACAUCAGUAAGACUGAAGCCACCGUCUAGACAACAUAUGUCGCUACUUCUAUACAGUUGAUGAAGGGAUGCUGAUAGUCUGGGCCUAAUACCAAAGAGACCUCGCAGCCAAACCUAACAUCUAAGACCUGAUGCCCCAACCAAGCCACCUGCCGGGUAUGGGGCACCCACCGGUCCGACGCACACUCAGAGGUUGCCGCCACCAACUGCCAUCAAUCCAUCUUCAGAACUGUACUGACGCAUCCACCUUGCCCGGUCUAGUUGCCGUGGAUGCCACCACGACGCCAGACAGCGUCGCCCUCCUACGCGAGUCCAUCCUCGCACAUCAGACGCCUAAUCACCUGGGCGCCACGCCAUCGAGAUCCGUCGCCUUCAAUGUGGAGGAUGAAGCACCGCACCACCGAAGAAAACAUCCACUGGUCCACCGAACCCACGUACACCUCCAAGAAUGACGCCCCCAAGGGGGAGACGACACAAGCGCGCCGUCGUCUUCUGAUCUAUCGAUCUAGGGUUUCCCCCGAAGGUAGCAGAUAGUGGUCUAGAACUUCUCCUCGGCGAUGCCUUCAAGAAGGGAACGACGCCGUAGAGCGUCGCCAUCGCCGGCCUUGGCAUCUAGCCAAGAGCAGGUUUUCACCUAGAUCUGUUCAGAGAACUCCAUCCAGCUUCUUGUGCACGGGUCGCCGCCUUCUUUGCUGGAGACUACGAUCAAAGGAUCCAGCUGCCGCCGCCUGAACGGCCGAAGCACCACCACGGUGCCAAAGCAGCCCGACACUGACUGGACUGCGAGUGGGAAGACGGAGACUGCAAAGGUGACGCCUUCAAGAAGGUAACGACGCGUAGGCGCUGUCGUCACCCGCCACGACCGAAGUUGGAUCACCGAUUUCACCGGCAGCCGCUCGUCCCCACUCCAUGCGGGGGCUCCCCGGUGCGGGGCGGCGCCGCCCCACGGGGGAGGCGGGGGGCUGUAGGGGAGGUNUGGGGAGGUCGGGGGAGGCGGGGGGCGGCUGUAGGGGAGGUCGGGGCAGGCUGCCGUUCAGCUGUACCAGACCAGCUCCAGAUCACCUACCUUGGCAUCCCUCUCACGUUGCGCCACCCCACCGCUGCCCAAGUACAGCCCCUCGUCGAUUCUGUGGCAGCUAGGCUCCCGACCCGGAAGGCGUGGCUAAUGAACAAGAUCGGACGCCUAAUAUUGGUCAAAUCGGUACUGAGCGCUAUUCCGGUUCACCAACUGCUCGCGUUUGCACCACCAAAGAAGACCCUCAAGCAACUAGAGAAGCUCCAGAGAGGAUUCCUUUGGGCUCGGCGCGCCGCCGCAUAUGGUGGGCACUGCCACGUCAACUGGCACCACGUGUGCCGCCCGUUGGAGUAUGGUGGAUUGGGAAUAUGCGACCUGGAGCGCGUAGGACUAACACUGAGGCUGCGAUGGCUGUGGUAUGCCCGCACAUACGAAGACCGCGCAUGGCAAGGACUUGAUCUGCAAUUCUCACGGGAGGAGAGAGCGCUAUUCUUUGCCUCCACGAUCAUGGCCAUCAGGAACGAACUGACUGCUCUAUUCUGGGAGGACCGCUGGCUGCACGGGUGGUCGGUACGUGAAUUUGCACCGGCGCUCUAUCAGUGCAUCCCCAAGUGACGACGCAAAACAAGAACAAUGGCGGAGGGGCUGGCGGGCAGCUCAUGGGCCCGUGACAUCCAAGGGGUCCUUGGGAUCCAUAGAUUGGGCAAUACUUGCAGCUUUGGUAGGCCGUGCAGCAGAUCACCCUCACAGAUGAGCCUAACCUAAUGCUUUGGAGUUGGACGACCGAUGGUGCAUACUCGGCACAAUCCUGCUACGGCGCGACAUUCCAUGGAUCCACGCAUUGCCCCUCGUGGAAGCUCUUUCAUUGGUUAGCCAACCGGGACCGAUGCUGGACGGCGGCGAGGCUCACCCGCUGCGGCCUAGAACACCACCCCAGAUGCCUGCUAUGCGAUCAGGCCCCGGAGACCAUCCAGCACCUGCUACUGGCCCGCCCGUUCGCCCAGCAGACUUGGCAUGACAUUUUAGCCUGGACACGCAUACCUGUCCAGCCUCCAGCCAAUGAACCCACACUGAUGGACUGGUGGCAGAGGGUGAAAGGGCAGACUCCCCAGGCGCUGCGCAAGGGCCUGCAAUCCAUCGCCAUGCUUGUCCCAUGGAUGAUCUGGAAGCACAGGAACGAACGUGUCUUCGACAACGCGCGACCCUCGAUCGAUAUUUUUGUGGAUAGGAUUCAAGAUGAGGCCAAAUGUUGGGCACAAGCAGGAGCACUGCGGCUCAGGGCAGUCCCUACCCACAUCCUGUGACGUCCACUGAUCGGGCUCAUGACCCAUGUACCCUCAGCCUCCUAGGAGGAUUGUACUCCCCUAUCUUUUCAUUGAAAUGAAACGCAAAGCUUUUGCAUUUUCUCGAAAAAAAGAGGAUGAUGAACGUUUCUCAUCAUUUAGUUCUUCCAAGUUCCUUAUCGUGUAGUGAUCUCGCACUGGUUGCUAAGGGUCAGUUUGGUUGCAAUCCUGGGACAAAUUCGCCUGGCCUGAGAUAUCCCUGAGAUAUGCCUGGACAUUAUUUGGUUGGCUACCUGGAUUCACGGACACGUCCCUGGCCUGGAGCUUGUUGCAGCUAGAUUAGCCUGGCUAGCUCCCAGGCAGAUUGCUUAGCCUCGUCCAGGCCGACGGGAGCAGACGCCUGGGCUCCAGGCAGGCGCAGUUAUAGUCUCAUUAGUACUUGCAUGCUGCACUUUCUGUCAAAUCAGCCUUCAAAUCUAUUUUUUAUUGUUUAAUUGUUUGUCCCAGGCCAGGUCCUCAACCAAACAUCAUGUGUGCACACAUGCCUGGACAGGCAAAAAUCUUCUUUUUCUCAGGCCAACACCAGGCAUCAAAUUUUACCAGGCGCGAAGCCGAGGACAUGAACCAAACAGGCCCUAAAUGUGUAUAGGGUUGCAGAUGGAGUGGUAUGCUCUUUUAGUAUAGCUGUCUAAGAAUAUGUGAAACCUAAUAGUUAAAGAAAAAAAUUCUUGCAUAAAAUUGCACAUUUUUUUUUCUGCAAUCGUCCUUUAUCAUUAUUCAUUAGAAAUAUGGUGAAGUAGGUUGAUUGUCGUCAAUUUGUCAUAGCAAUAAGCACUCUAGAACUGUUGCAUACAGAUGGAGCAUUGGAUUUUUUGUAGGAAUUGGUAUUGCUUACAUCCAGACUGUCAGAUAUGAGGUUGCAAUAGCUGACCUCGGGCACUCUCGAGUCUUUGCUUUAUGUUAGCAUGGUCAAUGACUCUAUCCUUGAACUUGUCAACCAUGGUGAUACUUUCUGUUGUACAAACCUUCAUUUGUAUUGCAUUUCUUUUCCAGGCAAGCUCUUCAACAGUUCAAAGGUGAUGCACCUCCUGUUGUCCUUGAUAUCAUUAACACAAUUGAAGGAGGUCCUCCUGUUGAUGUUUCUUCUGUCCGCUCUAUGUAAGGGAUUAACAUCAAUUGUGUUUCAUCUUUUGAAACUUCUAACAAAAUGUUCUUGCACGGAGCAAAGUAAAAUUGCCUAAGUUAUUCUGGUCAUUGAAUAACCAUAUUUAUGAUGUAUAUUUCAUAUUCAUGAACUCAGCAGUUAACCUUUUUUGCUAGACUUAUUUGUUUCUCUAGUUCUGGUAUUAGUGCUUUAGGUCAAGAACUGGUUGGUAGUAGUGCCCCUGAACUGAAAACUUAUUUACCAGCUCCCUGGCAUUAUUAAUUCCAAUUAAGAGAUAUGUGUUUUUUCUCUUUUUAAGUAACUGCUAUCAAACUUACAUUGCAGGUAUGAACAUGUAGCAAAAAGUGCAGCAACCAUCUUCGAUGAUUCCCUUUCUGCUGAUUCUUAUCUUAAUGUUCUAUAUAUGCCAUCCACAUUCCCACGAUCUGAGAGGUCCAGGCAAUCCAGAGAUUCUCUAGAUAGCCAAUUUUCGUCUGCUAGCUCAUACCUUGAAGAUGGUCCUCGCAGCAAUCUUGAUAGCGUCCGAUAUGCAGAGUGUAUUCAUUACUUACAGGAAGUAAGAUUUGUCCUCCUUCAAAGGUGUUCCUAUUUUUCUUUAAUAGCUCAAAUUUUGGCAUACAAGGUUUACCCUAGAGUUUUCUUUACAUUUUCUAGACUCUGCAGUUCCAACAUGCAACAAAUAAUUGUUGUACCUGUAAUAACUGUAAACACCUAAUUUUUGUUCCUGGCAUCCUGCUCAUCAUUGUGAUGACCAUUUCUUACGGUGGCAAUUAAAGCCACUCUUGAACCCUGUUCAGGUUUUAGUUUACCCAAGUCCUUCUGAAUUUAUUUUAGCCAGUGGAUUGUAUGGUUUGCCCAAGUCCUUUUGAAUUUGUGAUUAAUGGUUUCUUUCGGAUACUUGCAGUAUGCUCGCCCACAAAUGCUUGCUUUCAUGUUCAGGCAUGGCCAUUAUGCAGAAGCAUGCUCUCUAUUCUUUCCAUCCAGUGAACCAAACGCAGAAGGGGAAACAUCUUUGUCUUCAGUUCCUCGGAAUGAUCCUUUAACAACUGAUUAUGGGACAAUUGAUGACCUGUGUGAUCUAUGUCUUGGAUAUGGUGCUAUGUCUGUAUUGGAGGAUACAAUAUUGGCAAUAACUCAAUCCCCGACGUAUCAUGACACAACUGUGAUUCAGUACAUGAACACUGUUCUCACCCGCAUUUGUAACUACUGUGAAAUGCAUCGGCACUAUAAUUAUCUUUACAAUUUUCUGGUACUAUCAUCAAAUUUUCCUUUGUGUCACUUCCUUUGAAGUCCACUGCUUUCGCGCUAAUUAAUAUUUACAUUGAAACAUGGUGUAUCAGGUUCUAAAAGGUGAUCAUGUGGCUUCUGGCCUUUGUUGUAUUCAGUUAUUCAUGAACUCAAUGUCCCAAGAGGAAUCUCUGAAGCAUUUGGGACAUGCCAAGGUAUUAUGAUUUUCAUUAUCAAUGUGUUAUAAUGCAGUAGUUGGUCUUUGUUAGGAAAUAUGCAACUUGUAUUUCCAGGAGGCCAUAGGCCAGUAUAUAUACAUGUACAGGUGGUGGACUAUAUGCAGGAAACCCCUUAUAUAUUGGGAUAAAUACAAAAGGGUACAUGACUUAUAUUAUAACUCUAACACNACUAAUACUUCCUAACACCCCCCUUCAAAUGCAAAGCGUAUGCAAUAGCAGAGGUAGACACCGCAUCACUCGAAGAUACAAGAUAAGUAUCAAGAGAAGAUGGGUUGUCAAAAGAAGAUUGCACAUCAAGAGGAAUAAAGCAUUGCGCGGAAAAUCAUAGUCCACGACAACCGUCGGCGAAAGAAGCUCGGCGGAUAAGACAUGAUGGACGUAGAUCGACAAUGCAAAAGAAGUCCAGAAAAUCCUAUAGAAAACAACAAGGGCAAAUAUGCCACAAAAGUUGCAUAGAAAGGAUCAGGACCGGAUAAAGGCUGACGGACUAAGGUAUGGUGGACUCGCAUAGCAUGAGAAAACACAAAAUAUCAACGGAUUUGGUGGACGCAGCGGGAAAAAAAACUGAAAAGCAUAUAUGAAACUAGAUGCGGUAGCAGCGGAAGAGAAC